rnacentral:lncRNA from 1 species
CGUGGCGGGAUCUACGUGUGAAGCGGAGUACAUAGCUGCUUCGGAAUCAGCAAAUGAAGGAGUUCAUAUCCGAUCCAGGUGUAAUACCUAGUGCAUCGGGUCCAAUGAAAAUCUUUUGUGACAAUACUGGAGCACUAGCCUUGGCGAAGGAAUCCAGAUUUCACAAGAGAACCAAACACAUCAAGAGACGCUUCAAUUCCAUCCGCGAUCAAGUCGACGAGGGAGGCAUAGAGAUUUGCAAAAUACAUACGGAUCUGAAUGUUGCAGACCCGUUGACUAAGCCUCUUCCACGAGCAAAACAUGAUCAGCACCAAGACUCCAUGGGUGUUAGAAUCAUUACUAUGUAAUCUAGAUUAUUGACUCUAGUGCAAGUGGGAGACUGAAGGAAAUAUGCCCUAGAGUCAAAAAUAAAGUUGUUAUUUAUAUUUCCUUAUAUCAUGAUUAAUGUUUAUUAUUCUUGCUAGAAUUGUAUUAACCGGAAACUUAGUACAUGUGUGAAUACAUAGACAAAACAGAGUGUCCCUAGUAUGCCUCUACUUGACUAGCUCGUUGAUCAAAGAUGGUUAUGUUUCCUGACCAUAGACAUGUGUUGUCAUUUGAUGAACGGGAUCACAUCAUUAGAGAAUAAUGUGAUGGACAAGACCCAUCUGUUAGCUUAGCAUAAUGAUCGUUUAGUUUUAUUGCUAUUGCUUUCUUCAUGACUUAUACAUGUUCCUCUGACUAUGACAUUAUGCAACUCCUGAAUACCGAAGGAACACCUUGUGUGCUAUCAAACAUCACAACGUAACUUGGUGAUUAUAAAGUUGCUCUACAGGUGUCUCCGAUGGUGUUUGUUGGGUUGGCGUAGAUCAAGAUUAGGAUUUGUCACUCCGUGUAUUGGAGAGGUAUCUCUGGGCCCUCUCAGUAAUGCACAUCACUAUAAGCCUUGCAAGCAAUGUGACUACUGAGUUAGUUACGGGAUGAUACAUUACGAAACGAGUAAAGAGACUUGCCGGUAACGAGAUUGAACUAGGUAUGAUGAUACCGACGAUCGAAUCUCGGGCAAGUAACAUACCAAUGACAAAGGGAAUGACGUAUGUUGUUAUGCGGUUUGACCGAUAAAGAUCUUCGUAGAAUAUGUAGGAGCCAAUAUGAGCAUCUAGGUUCCGCUAUUGGUUAUUGACCAGAGAUAUGUCUCGGUCAUGUCUACAUAGUUCUCGAACCCGUAGGGUCCGCACACUUAACGUUCGAUGACGAUUUGUAUGAUGAGUUAUGUGUUUUUGUGACCGAAGUUUGUUCGGGGUCCCAGAUGAGAUCACGUACAUGAAGAGGAGUCAUGAAAUGGUUGAGAGGUAAAGAUUCAUAUUGGAAGGUCAUAUUCGGACAUCGGAAUGGUUCUGAGUGAUUCGGGUAUUUCUCCGGAGUACCGAGGGGUUACGGGAACCCCCCGGGGAAGUGUUGGGCCAACAUGGGCAUAAGGGAGAGAGAGGGAAGCCCAUGGGGGGUGGCCGCGCACCCCCCUCCUAGGGAGUCCAAAUAGAACAAGGAGGAGGGAGCGACGCCCCCCUUCCCUUUCCCUCUCCCUCUCCUUCCUAUUCCCUCCGGUGGAAGAAAGGAAAAGGGGGGGCGAAUCCUACUUGGACUAGGAGUCCAAGUAGGACUCCCCCCAUGGCGUGCCCCUCCUAGCCGCCGGCCUCUCCCCCCUCCUUUAUAUACGUGGGCAGGGGGCACCCCAAAGGCACACCAAGAAUUCUCUUAGCCGUGUGCGGUGCCCCCCUCCACAGUUUACUCCUCCGGUCAUAGCGUCGUAGUGCUUAGGCGAAGCCCUGCGCGGAUUACAUCACCAACACCGUCGCCACACCAUCAUGCUGACGGAACUCUCCCUCGACCCUCUACUGGAUCAAGAGUUCAAGGGACGUCAUCGAGCUGAACGUGUGCUGAACAGGGAGGUGCCGUAUGUUCGGUAGUUGGAUCGGUUGGAUCGUGAAGACGUUCGACUACAUCAACCGCGUUAACAUAACGCUUCCGCUUUCGGUCUACGAGGGUACAUGGACACACUCUCCCCCUCUCGUUGCUAUACAUCUCCUAGAUAGAUCUUGCGUGGUCGUAGGAAAUUUUUUGAAAUUGCAUGCUACGUUCGCCAACAAAAAGAAUGGUGGCUUGGGAGACGGGCAUGGCCGCGGAAGGGGUGCAAGGGUCGGACGAGCCUGAGAUGCGGGGCGUCACUGCGGUCUCCAUCCAUGCACACGUCUUCAUGGCCGGAACAAUACCAGCCUCCCUACUUCUAUGUCGCCCAGGAGCUCGGCAGGUGGUCCUCGACAUAUGCUACCAGACACGUGCCUUAUUGCGUCGAUGUCAAGGCGACUGUUGGGAAGUGUUGCAUGGAAAACAAAAAAAAAUCUGCGCACACGCAAGAUCUAUCAGGAGAUGCAUAGAAACAAGAGGGGAGAGUGUGUCUACGUACCCUCGUAGACCAUAAGCGAAAGCGUUUCACAACACGGUUGAUGUAGUCGAACUUUCUUCGCGAUCCAACCGAUCUAGUACCGAACGUACGGCACCUCCGCGUUUAGUGCACAUUCAGCUCGGUGACGUCCUCCGCCUUGUUGAUCCAGCAAGACGGUGAGGCAGUAGAUGAGUUCCGUCGGCACGGCGGUGUGUUGACGGUGAUGGUGAAGUGAUCUCCGCCGGGCUUCGCCUAAGCACUACGAAAAUAUGACCGGGGGUGUAAACGGUGGAGGGGGCGCCGCACACGGCUAACAAUUGAUCUGGUGUGUGCUAGGCGCCCCCCUCCCACAUAUAUAUAUAGGUGGGCGGGGAGGGGAGAGGCCAGGGCGCACCCUAGGGCUGGCCACCAGCCCCCUAGGGGCCCUACCUUGCCCUGCGCCCCCCUGCCAUGUUUCCCCAAGGGGGAAGGAAAGAGGGGGGAAGAGGGAAUCCUAAUCCACACUUUCCUUUCCCUUCUCCCCUUUCCUUCUCCUCCUUUGGCCGGCCCAUAUGGGGGGGCGCACCAGCCCCUUGUGGCUGGUGUGUUUCCCCUCUUCGCCCAUAAAGCCCAUAUCUUUUGCCGGGGGUGCCCGGAACCCCUUCCGGUGACCCGGUAAGUACCCGAUACCCCCCGAAACACUUCAGUGUCCGAAUACCAUCGUCCUAUAUAUCAAUAUUUACCUCUCGACCAUUUCGAGACUCCUCGUCAUGUCCAUGAUCUCAUCCGGGACUCCAAACAACAUUCGGUCAUCAAAUCACAUAACUCAUAUAAUACUAUAUCGUCAUCGAACGUUAAGCGUGCGGACCCUACGGGUUCGAGAACUAUGUAGACAUGACCAAGACACCUCUCCGUUCAAUAACCAAUUGCGGAACCUGGAUGCCCAUAUUGGCUCUUACAUAUUCUACGAAGAUCUUUAUCGGUCGAACCGUUAUGACAACAUAUGUAAUUCCCUUUGUCCGUCGGUAUGUUACUUGCCCGAGAUUCGAUCGUUGGUAUCUUUAUACCUAGUUCGAUCUUGUUACCGGCAAGUCUUUUUACUCAUUCCAUAGUACAUCACCUCGUAACUAACUCCUUAGUCAUUUGCUUGCAAGCUUAUGAUGUGUAUUACCGAGAGGGCCUAGAGAUGCCUCUCAGAUACUCAGAGUGACAAAUCAUAAUUUUGAUCUAUGCCAGCUCAACAAACACCUUUGGAGAUACCUAUAGACCGUCUUUAUGAUCACCCAGUUACGUUGUGACGUUUAAUAGCACACAAGGUAUUCCUCCGGUAUCCGGGAGUUGCAUAAUCUCAUAGUCAAAGGAAUAAGUAUUUGAUAUGAAGAAAGCAAUAGCAAUAAACUGAGCGAUCAUUAUCCUAAGCUAAUGGGUGGGUCUUAUCCAUCACAUCAUUCUCCUAAUGAUGUGAUCCUGUUAUCAAAUGACAACACAUGUCCAUGGUUAGGAAACCUUAACCAUCUUUGAUCAACGAGCUAGUCUAGUAGAGGCUUACUAGGGACACGGUAUUUGUUUAUGUAUUCACACAUGUAUUUAAGUUUCCGAUCAAUACAAUUCUAGAAUGAAUAAUAAACCUUUAUCAUGAAUAAGGAAAUAUAAAAUAACAACUUUAUUAUUGCCUCUAGGACAUAUUUCCUUAAGCAACACCCUCCAUUCCGUCGAGUCGACAGCGCCGCAAUGAAAGUGCAACUAUCCCUGGGUGGUUUUGGUAAUUCCUAACAACAUAUAUCUCAUUGAGCUAAUGCUAUUCCAAGAUAAAUAUAUCAGGAAAGCUCAAUGUUUGGCAUGGCAUGGAUUAGAAAGUGGACCCUUCAAAAUGCUAAGGACAAAGGAUUGGCUCAAGCUCAAAGCACAAGACUCUACAUUUUUUAUUUUAGUGAUCCAAGAUCACAUUGAGUCUAUAGGAAAAGCCAUUACUAUUAAGAAGGGAUGAGGUGUUGCUUAAUGAGGAUCUUGCUCAAAAUGCUUAGUGAUAUGCUCCAAAAUCCUCGACUACUUUCUCAUAUCCACAUAUGUCCUAAGCCAAAAAGUCCAACUCAGCCCCACCGAAGUUUCUCAUCCGGAGCCACCGAGUUCAGUUGACAUAGCCACUGCCAGAAACCCUAAUCAAUUCGGUCUCACCGAUAGGGAUCUCGGUCUCACCGAGAUGGGAUUGCAAACUCUCUGUUUCCCUUCGUAACGUUUCGGUCAAACCGAGAUGAGCGAUCGGUCCCGCCGAGAUUGCAAUGCAAACUCUCUGUUUCCUUUCCGUAACGUUUCGGUCCAACCGAGAUGAGCGAUCGGUCCCACCGAGUUUGCCUGACCAACUCUCUGUUUGGCUAUUACCAAAAUCGGUCUCACCGAGUUUGUGUAAUCGGUCUCACCGAGAUUACGUUAUGCCCUAACCCUAAUGACAUCGGUCCCACCGAGUUGACAUGUCGGUCCCAUCGAGAAUCCUAACGUUCACCUUUUGAACUAAAUUGGUCCGACCGAGUUUAAUGAUUCGGUCCCACCGAGUUUGGUGAUUUGUGUGUAACGGUUAGAUUUUGUGUGGAGGCUAUAUAUACCCCUCCACCCACUCUUCAUUCAUGGAGAGAGCCAUCAGAACAUGCCUACACUUCCAAUACGUAUUUUCUGAGAGAGAACCACCUACACUUGUGUUGAGGUCAAGAUAUUCCAUUCCAACCACAUAAAUCUUGAUCUCUAGCCUUCCCCAAGUUGCUUUCCACUCAAAUCUUCUUUCUACCAAAUCCAAUCCUAUGAGAGAGAGUUGAGUGUUGGGGAGACUAUCAUUUGAAGUACAAGAGCAAGGAGUUCAUCAUCAACACACCAUUUGUUACUUCUUGAAGAGUGGUGUCUCCUAGAUUGGCUAGGUGUCACUUGGGAGCCUCCGACAAGAUUGUGGAGUUGAACCAAGGAGUUUGUAAGGGCAAGGAGAUCGCCUACUUCGUGAAGAUCUACCCUAGUGAGGCAAGUCCUUCAUGGGCGACAGCCAUGGUGGGAUAGACAAGGUUGCUUCUUGUGGACCCUUCGUGGGUGGAGCCCUCCGUGGACUCGCGCAACCGUUACCCUUCGUGGGUUGAAGUCUCCAUCAACGUGGAUGUACGAUAGCACCAUCUAUCGGAACCACGGAUAAAAAAUCUCCGUGUCAACAUUGCGUUUGCUCCCUCAAACUCAUCCCUUUACCUUCAUAUGCAAUUGUCUUACAUUCCGCUUCUAUACUCUUAGAAUUGCAUGUGUAGGUUGAUUGCUUGAUUUGUGCUAAGUUGCUAAAAUCUGCCAAGAACUGAAAUUGGGAAAAGGGUAGAUUUUUAUUUGAUCAAGUAGUCUAAUCACCCCCCCUAUAGACAUACUUCCGAUCCACGAGUGGUAUCAGAGCUUUGGUCUCCAUUUGCUUUGAUUUCCAUAGCUUUUGGUGGUCAUAGCCUUGGUUUCACAACCUAGGAGAGUAUGGCGUCUAGCGAGGGAAAUUACCACCGUAGAGGUCCUUACUUUGAUGGCACUAAUUUUGCUAGUUGGAAGCAUAAGAUGAAAAUGCAUAUUCUUGGACAUAACCCCGCCGUUUGGGCUAUUGUGUGUAUUGGCUUGCAAGGUGAAUUCUUUGAUGGGAGAGAACCGAACCGUGAAGCUACCGCGGAAGAGUUGAAGAUGCUACAAUACAAUGCUCAAGCUUGUGAUAUUCUCUUCAACGGAUUGUGCCCCGAACAAUUCAACAAAAUCAGCCGUCUUGAGAAUGCAAAGGAAAUUUGGGAUACUUCGAUUGAUAUGCACGAAGGUACCGACUCCGUCAAGGAAUCCAAAUUUGAUGUGCUUCAAAGUCAACUUGACAAGUUCAAAAUGAAGGAUGGUGAAGGUGUCGCUGAAAUGUACUCUAGGCUUGCUCUCAUCACAAAUGAGAUUGCCGGCUUAGGAAGUGAAGAGAUGACCGACAAGUUCAUCAUCAAGAAGAUCCUAAGAGCCUUGGAUGGAAAAUAUGAUACCGUGUGCACAUUGAUCCAAAUGAUGCCUAAUUACAAAGAUCUCAAGCCAACGGAAGUCAUUGGAAGAAUUGUUGCUCAUGAGAUGUCACUCAAGGAUAAGGAAGAGCUUCACAACAAGUCAAGUGGUGCUUACAAAGCCUCAUGUGAUACUCCCACAUCUUCAAGUGAGAAACAAACCUUCAAUGAAGAAUUGAGCCUAAUGGUAAAGAACUUCAACAAGUUCUACAAGAGUAGAAGCAAAGAAAUAAGUUCCAAGUCAAGGUCCUACAAUGACAAAAGAUCUUCUAGUCGUGAGCGUAAUUGCUACAAUUGUGGAAGACCCGGAUACUACUCCAAUGAGUGUACGCCCCCCUACAAAAGAAGAGAAGAUUCUCCCAAAAGAAGAAGUAGAAGAGAAGAAUCGCCACCAAGAGAAAGGAGGAGUAGAGAUGAUCGUUAUGAACGAAGACCCUCUCGGAGAAGCAAGGAUUCGGAAAGAAAGGAAAAGUCAUCAAGGAGCUACACAAAAAGAAGACAUCAAGCUCAUGUUGGUGAAUGGGUAUCCGGCUCCGACUCUGACAAUCACUCCGAAAGAAGUUAUCACUCCGACUCCGAAUAUACUCAAGAUGAAGGUGUUGCCGGUCUAGCACUUGUGUCGACCAACUCCUAUGACAUAUUUGACUCACCAAAUGAAGGAAUUGGAAGAUGCUUCAUGGCCAAAGGUCCAAAGGUAACACAUCCCUAGUAUGUUGAUUUCAAUAGUGAUGAAGAUGAUUUGCUAGGUGAUGAUGAUUUACUUGUUGACAACUCUAGUGAUGAAAACUAUGAUGAAACGUCAAUUAAUCAUGCUAAUCAAGAUAAAACGAAUGAUGAUGAUAAGAAGGAGAUGAGCGUCUAACUCAAGAACUAAACACUCUUAAGUUAGCUCAUGAAACUACCUUGGAAAAUCAUCGAGAACUUUUAAAGACUCGUGAUAAGCUACGCUUUGAAAAGCUCAACCUUGAGCAAGAGCAUGAGUUUUUAAAGGCAAUCAAUGAUGAUCUUCGCAAGAAAAGUUCUUCUUACAUUGCCAAGCGUUUACUCUUGUCUACAUACAUGCCACAAGUUAAAUCUAGCAACAAGAACAAGAAAGAUUCUUCAUCUAGUAGUAACAACAAUCAUGCUAAAUCCAAUGUUGAUGCUUCUAGUAGUUCUCUUGAUUCCACUAAUGAUUCUCUUAGCCAAGUUACACUUGAGCAAGAAAAUAGCUUAUUGAAGGGAAUCAUAGAGAAAGGUGUUUACAAGAGUCUUGCCGGAAGUAAGCAAUUUGAGGAAAUUGUGUGCAAGCAAGGAAAACACCGGAAGAAUCAAGGUGUUGGUUUUGAACGGAAGUUCGAUGCCAAUGGAGUUGAGUGAGAAGAAGAUCAAUACCCCAAGACAAAGUUUAUUCCUCAACAAGAGAAGUAUGAUCCUACUUCUUUCAAAGGAACACAAGCUCAAGAUGAUCUUCCACCACAAGACCACAAGCAAAAAGGCAAGGAUAAGCUUCAAGAGAAAAUUGAUGCAUUUGAAGAAGCACCUAAGGCCUUGGUCAAGUGGGUUCCCAAGACUACAUCAAGUUCCACUUCAUCAAGUACAACUACGACUCCAAGGGUUCCCAUCAAGAUGGUGUGGAUCCAGAAGAAGAAGAACUUGAGAGUUCUUGAGGGUGACUCCGCCAACAUACUUCACUCCUAUCAUUUUGGCAAGGACAAGUGCAAACAACUUCCAUAUCUUGCACUAGUUCAAGGAGUCACAAACCCUCUUAUUGGUAAGACAAGGGACAAGGUAACCUAAUGACUUCAUGGACAUCAUCUUGUGUAUGCGUCACUCUAUGUCUAUGGAUAUCCUUGUUUGUUCCUUGUGGGACUAACCCGUGUAGGUAUUGAAAGUGCAACUCACUCCAAAGGAUUGCUCCAAAUGAUCUACAUCAACAUUGAGCAUCUACAUUUUCAACACCUACAUGAAGUAAUCAUUGAGAAAACCCAAGGUUAGUUCAUUCCCUUUAGGGGGGAUAUCACAUCUAGGGGGAGCUUUACUCAAAUCAAUGAGCUAAAGCAACUCUAAUGGUGUGAACACAACAAUGCUUUAUGUAAAAGUGGUAACCCCACUCGUGCUUAAACGAUGAGUAUGACUUAUGAUCAAAUGUUCUCAUUUGACUCCUAAGUCAAUAUACUCAUAUAUAGAUGACCUAGUCAUCGCCAAAUUGCUUGAUAGAUGCUAGAUUGUCUGUGCAUGCUUUGUCACAUAUUUCAUUUGCCAUUUUAAUUGUGUGAGCAUGUUGGAUGCAUAUUUUACUCAUUCGAGGACAUCCAUUUGUUGCUAUGAUUGUUUGGCUCUUUCUCUUUUGCCAAAUGGAUGGACAAGAAUGCCUAAGAACACCCUCUAGCUAUCUAUGCUUUUCUCGUCUCAAACUCUAUUCAUGCUACAUCACAAAGUCUGAUCAAGUCAGAUUCGAACCACCACUACAAGAAAUAUGUCAACUUGUGACCCUCACUAUUGGUCCCUGAAAGGUCAUUGAUUUUCAUUUGCGACCUUUUUUUGACCAAAAACAGAUGGUCAAAAGCUGGCAGUCGUAAACUGAAAUUAACGACCUUCUCUGUGAGAAGGUCGUAGACGUUUACGACCAAAACAGAAGGUCGUUGAACCCAUGACAUUUUGUUUUGGUCACUGGUUGUCUGCCCAGGCCACGUCGGAUCCGACGUGGCAAUCUGACGUGGCAAAGUUGCGACCAAUUGAAAAGGUCAAAAAUUAAAAUCGGCCCAGUCCAAUUGGGUGUUUAUAUGGGCCAAGCCCAUUAAUUCAGCCAAUUUAGUGUAUUUUUUCUGCCAAUUUUUGUUAGCUUCAUGGGCCAAGCCCAACAUCGCAGCCUUUUUAUAUUCACAAUUCCGCCUUUUUAUAUUCUAGGUUGUGGCCUUUUAAUAUUCAAUUUCUUAUUAUUUUCUCCCUUCUCUACCGUGUUUUUUCCAUUAAAUAAACAGCUCCAGACCAACUUUGUUUGGGCCAUGGCCGAUUCAGGCCGAGUACUAUUUUCUGUCAUAUUCAACCCAUAUCAAGUAGCAUGUACACAAUUUCAAUAUCAUCAUGUCAUUUAAAGCACCAUUUACACAGGGAAUACAACAUUUAAUUACACAGGAAUACAUCAUCUACACAAUUUGCCUUAACUUACUACAUCACAUUGUUCAACUCGUAUUAGCACAUCUGGUACUGUCCUACAAGAACAUAACAUUGUUCAACUCGUACAAGUAGUAAAAACUUCAUUGUUCCCUCUGAUGUGCUCCAGAUGCGACAACUUGCCUUCCUACAAGAACAUAACAUUACAUGAAUUGAUCAAUCAAGGAGGAAAGGGAAAAAAAUAGGCUCAAAGCAUCACGCAUACAAAUAAUAACAUAAUACAUUAAUGUAUAAUGUAAUAAAAAAUAUGUAUAAUCAGGGCAAUUUCUAGCCAACAUGCGUACAUGAAUCAGAGUAGAACUAGCAAGAGGUAUAAUUAGCGGCAAACAACAAGUAUCAGUCAAAGCAGUACCAAGUAACUGGCAGCAAGCUCUCAAACAGGCAAUGCUAAUGUUUUGGCACAAUUGCUAGAAGUACAUGUUAUUUUGGAAAAGUGAGUAAGAGCUAUGAUAUUUUCCUAUAUGUACUUUCUGAUUUUCUUAGUCAUAUAGUGAUCUGCUCAUUUCAGUUCUAUCUACUCACCCCAUUCACAUGCAACAUAAGAAGCUGGUGUAGAACGCCAUCUUAACCACAUUCGCAGCAACGGAAGCAACAUAAACUGGUGUAGAGAAAGAGGCUUCAGCAAGGAGGCGCAAGCUCCACCCUUGCAUCCAGUGGCACCUGCACGGAGGGAGAGAGACUAAGAAGCAAGCAAAUAAAAACUGAAGUUCAGGGCAACCAAGCGAGCAAAUAAAACAUCUAGUAAAAAAGCAAAUUAGUUGCCAUCUCACAGCAAAAGGUGGAUAAAUCGAUUGUCAUAUCGUAGCAAAAGGUGGAUAUAUCAGUUGCCAUCUCACAGCAAAAGGAAAAUUAGCUAUGCAAGGGACAAAACAAAAAACGUAUUUUAAGAACACAAUACAAUGGCUCAAUGCAUGAAGCUUUUUCGCUUACGAUAGGAGAUUUUACAAAAAAGAAUACAAGGUGCCUCUGAACAGGAGCAGAGCAUGUCUAGAGCACUUAUGUCAAUGCCUCCCAUACAAUUUAUUUAACUCAUAGGUUUACAUUAAUUGAAAUAAUCUGGGACAGUUCAACAAACAAAAAUGUGAAGCAAAUAGCAUUUUUCAGUUCAGCAACAUGUUGUACAUACAGUAUGAGCAGCACAGGAUAGUAAAAAUAGUGAGCAAAAGCCAAAUGAGUUGCUUUAACUCUAACUAGUUGGUAACAAAUUGACAUAAUCUGGGACUGUUCAACAGAUCAAAAUGUGAAGCUAACAUAUGAAGCUGGCAACAGAUCAAAAUACAGUAGUUGCAGCUACACCUAAACUAGAGCAGUUACGGAAUCAUCACAUAUGUAGUUGACAGGAGGAAGAAGCGACAGAUCAAGGAAAUUGUCUCACCAGGAGCGACAACGAGCAACGGGCGAAGUUGAGGAGGGUCAGCGGCAGGAGCAGCUCACAUAAGUGGUCGGGGAAGACAGUCGGCAGCAGGUCCAUCGCAUCAUGUGAAUCCAUCCAUUGGCAGAAAUCAUAAUUAAAUCAUCAUCAUUGACAUGGCAGAAUGGGCGUGCAAAGAAAUUAUUUACAGGAUAUACAAAGCAACUACAUGUUGAUAUGAUUGGAUUGUAUGCACGGCGGAUUUGUAAUACUUAGUGUGAGUGCUGCUAGUCAAUAAAGAUGGGAUUCGUAGGAAAACAAAAAUAAUCAAUCAGUAGUCACCAUACGUAUGUGCAUAAUAGUUGUACAUAUAUAAUCUGAGUUGAUUUCUUUCUUAAAAAUUAUAUUAUCAACAUGGCUAGAGACUAUAUAGAUGGUCUACUCUGGUAUGUAGGUACAUGUGCAUCCAUCUUUUGCAUGCCGGCAAUCGGACUGAGAAAGCUAGACACAAAAAUACUAGCAAGUAUAUAUACUGAGAAAGCUAGACACAAACAUAGCCGCCUAGCAUUGGUAAGGUACAUGGCUUUGUUUCACUCAUUGCAGGAAAGUGGGCUGCUCUUGCAAAAUCGUGAGGCAGCAAACAGCUGCAGCAGUGGCAUGAGACGCUAACUCGACGGCAACGCAACAGCGAUGGGAUAAGCAACAGCCGGUUCAUACAGCGGUACGGCACAGAUCGCAUCAAGCAGCAAGGCGAGAGGGGGGCAGGGGAAGUACCGACGGGGGGGCAGAGCUCGAGGUCGAGGAGCGUGCGCGGACGGGGGCGGAGCUCGAGGUCGAGGAGCACGGCCACCGUCAUCUGCGCCAGCUCGCCCCUGCGCUAGCUCGAGGUUGAGGUCGAGGAGCGCGAAGUGCUUCAAGAAGAGUGCCUCCACCUAGUCCGACAGCUGAAGAACCUGCUUAAAAUUCCAUGGCAUAUACACACAUCAAUUCAUUCUGUUUGUGUGUCUUGUAGGUCUGAAACUCUUGAAAGAAUUUGUAAGACGACAAUACCUUGUCCGACGUGCUGAACGACGACCUCUUCACCUUCUGUGAGAAAAGGUCUAUUGCUCGCUGCUGCUCCGACACCUGAGAGAGCAUUUACGUGUCAGUUGCGGACAGCAAAUUACACAUUUGAUGGGGCAAUAUAAGCAUAAGAAUAAAGGAGAAACCAAAUAUGCACAUGGGUAAAACGGAUCAGAACUUACAUCAUCCAACAACAAACUAUAGCGGUAACAACCAGAGUCAAAUGGAAUCUGCAUAACAAUAGGCGAAGAACAUUAGUUAACAGGUUAUACAAAAAUUAAUGGAUGCAUAUAAACGAGUGCAAAAGUAGACGCAUCCGAGAAUGUGGCAGAGUCCAAGGUUCUCCAGGCACACACAAAUUCGUCUUUGCUGAAUAAUGAACGUAGAAUGAAGAAUACAUUGACACAUAGCACGAACCAUGGACAAACGUUGGUAUGUAACCUGUCUACUCAGUAGGUGCCAAUUUAGAUGCACUGAAUCGACACCAACUUGGGCGAACUGGUGGUAUGUGCAGAAACAGCGAAACAUUGCAAAAGCUCCUCUUUUCCCAAAUUGUGUGGUGAGGAACCAGCCUAUGCCCCCAAUUCGUCCUGCGGAGGCAACUAGCGGCAAUGACUCGAAGCAUUAGCACACAGCAUCGCCCCGACGAUCCAGACACUCUCUCUAGACUCUACCAAGCCCCCGAUCGGACAUCACGCGACACUCUAUAGAACACCGCCGCCGAAAUCGGAUUGUCGGCGCGAGGCGAGCGAGCGACCUACCAGGAAGCCGCGGAAGGUGGUCUGGAUGCGGAUGGCCGCCCACUCCUGCCUGAUGACGCGGAAGUCCUUGGGCGGCGCGCGCACCACGGCCGCGUCGACGGAGCUGAGCGCGUCGGCGGCGGCGGAGGACGUCUCGAAGAUCUCCGAGGCGGCCGCCGACGCGGCGGCCUCUGCCCGCCCGACGAGGUCCGACACCGGGGAGAAGCAGCCCCCUCCCUGCAGCAGCUGCUGGCCGCUCUCCGCCAGCGUGUAGCCCGCUGCUCCUGGAUUGCGCCCCUCCCAGUCGACCUCGAGGUCGGAGAGAGACGGAUCUCGCAGCUCUGGAUCUGCGAGGAGGGGAGGGGGAGGCCCGGCGGCGAGCUAUGGUGGGAGGAUGUGGUCUGAAUCGGGGAGAAGGGGGCGGGGGCGACGGCGGCNNNNNNNNNNNNNNNNNNNNNNNNNNNNNNNNNNNNNNNNNNNNNNNNNNNNNNNNNNNNNNNNNNNNNNNNNNNNNNNNNNNNNNNNNNNNNNNNNNNNNNNNNNNNNNNNNNNNNNNNNNNNNNNNNNNNNNNNNNNNNNNNNNNNNNNNNNNNNNNNNNNNNNNNNNNNNNNNNNNNNNNNNNNNNNNNNNNNNNNNNNNNNNNNNNNNNNNNNNNNNNNNNNNNNNNNNNNNNNNNNNNNNNNNNNNNNNNNNNNNNNNNNNNNNNNNNNNNNNNNNNNNNNNNNNNNNGUCGUCGUCGAUCUGGAUCGGGGAGAGGGAUUGGGGUGGGUGGCGGAUCUGGAGCGAAAGAAGGGAGGCGGGGGAGGGAGGAAUGAGAGAAAGAAUGGAGGCGGGGGGGUGGGUGGAAAAUGUCCAUGAGGACAGACCUAGGGUUUCGGCUCGGGUGGGUUUGGGCCAUUGGAUCCGUAAGCAUCCGACGGUGGUUGAUGCGUGAUCCGCGUGAUAUGCCCAUGAUCCAAUCAGAACGCAGCAAACCAUUUGAUGACCUUAUGACCAUAUAAAUUGGUCAUGUUUGAUUCAAGAUAAAAAAUUUCAUUCCAUUUUUCAGUGCUCAAAAUGAGUUUUUUUGUGAAAGUCCUAUCAAAUAUUUGUUCAAAUGAUCUCAUAUUGUGCACAAUGGUGCAUCUUGGAAUUUCAAACAAUGUUGCCUACGGGAGUUUUCAUUUUCUUUGCACGGAAAAUUCAUUUUCCAUUUUUCGAGUGCCCGAAAAGAGGUCUUUUUGUGAAGGACCUACCAUAUAUUUGUUGCAAAAUUGUACCAAAUCAAUUUUCAAAAAUACUAGGACAUAUUUAAUGCACAAUUGACCAAAUGGUUGGGUGUAAAAAAAUUUGAUCCACCUCUCGUGAAAAAGACAAAUUUUCGCCGAUUCAGUUGGAAGCGGGUCAAAUUUGAACUGUAGCUACCUCGUAGUUUGCUCUUUAUUUUUUCCAAAAAUCAUUUCUAGGUACAUAAGUAUCUAUUUAAUCAGAGAAACACCAAAAAAAUUCCAAGACUCAACCACUAGCUAGGAACGGUUAUUCCCGCCAUUUUGACCGCGUUUUGAAACGGGCAUAAAAAAUUCAAAAAAUUCAAAAAAAUUGGAAAACCUUUGCAUUGUUUCAUUGUAUGUGGCCAAGUUCCCAGGAAAAAUAACAAACUUUUAAUACGGCAAUUAUUUUAGAAAAGUGUUCUCGGAAACGAGCUAUCAUGCGUGAAGAUUCAUGGUUUUCAAGCCAAAUGAUCAAUCUUAUGGCCACAUUCAUGGCAUAGUUUGUUCAAAUGAUCUUAUAUUGUGCACAAGGGUACAUCUUGGAAUUCCAAACAAUGUUGCCUAAGGAAGUUUUCAUUUUCUUUGGACGAAAAAACCAUUUUCCAUUUUUCGAGUGCCCAAAAGGAGGUUUUUUUGUGAAGGACCUCCCAAAUAAUUGUUGCGAAAUUGGACAAAAUCAAUUUUAUAAAAUACUAGGCCAUAUUUAAUGCACAAUUGACCAAAUGGUUGGGUGUAAAAAGUUUUGAUCCACCUCUCGUGAAAAAGACAAAUUUCCGCCGAUUCAGAAGGAAGCGGGUCACAUUUGAACUGUAGCUGCCUUGUAGUUUGCUCUUUACUUUUUCCAAAAAUCAUUUCUAGGUACAUAAGUAUCUAUUUAAUCAGAGAAACACCAAAAAAAUUCCAAGAUUCAACCACUAGCUAGGAACGGUCAUUCCCGCCGUUUUGACCGCAUUUUGAAACGGGCAUAAAAAAUUCAAAAAAAUCAAAAAAUUGGGAAACCUUCGCAUUGUGUCAUUAUAUGUGGCCAAGUUCCCAGGAAAAAUAAUAAACUUGUAAUAAGGCAAUUAUUUUAAAAAAGUGUUCUCAGAAACAAGCUAUCACGUGUGGAGAUCAAUGGCUUUCAAGCCAAAUGAUCAAUCUUAUGGCACAUUCAUGGCAUAGUUUUUUCAAAUGAUCUCAUAUUGUGCACAAGGGUGCAUAUUGGAAUGGCAAACAAUAUUGCCUAAGGAAGUUCUCAUUUUCUUUGGACGAAAAAACCAUUUUCCAUUUUUCGAGUGCCCAAAAGGAGGUUUUUUUGUGAAGGACCUCCCAAAUAAUUGUUGCAAAAUUGGACCAAAUCAAUUUUAUAAAAUACUAGGCCAUAUUUAAUGCACAAUUGGCCAAAUGGUUGGGUGUAAAAAGUUUUGAUCCACCUCUCGUGAAAAAGACAAAUUUCCGCCGAUUCAGGUGGAAGUGGGUCAAAUUUGAACUGUAGUUGCCUUGUAGUUUGCUCUUUAUUUUUUCCAAAAAUCAUUUCUAGGUACAUAAGUAUCUAUUUAAUCAGAGAAACACCAAAAAAAUUCCAAGAUUCAACCACUAGCUAGGGACGGUCAUUCCCGCCGUUUUGACCGCAUUUUGAAACGGGCAUAAAAAAUUUAAAAAAAUCAAAAAAUUGGGAAACCUUCGCAUUGUGUCAUUAUAUGUGGCCAAGUUCCCAGGAAAAAUAACAAACUUGUAAUACGGCAAUUAUUUUAAAAAAGUUUUCUCAGAAACGAGCUAUCACGUUUGGAGAUCAAUGGCUUUCAAGCCAAAUGAUCAAUCUUAUGGCCACAUUCAUGGCAUAGUUUGUUCAAAUGAUCUCAUAUUGUGCACAAGAGUGCAUAUUGGAAUGGCAAACAAUGUUGCCUAAGGAAGUUUUCAUUUUCUUUGGACGAAAAAACCAUUUUCCAUUUUUCGAGUGCCCAAAGGAGGUUUUUUUGUAAAGGACCUUCCAAAUAAUUGUUGCAAAAUUGGACCAAAUCAAUUUUCUAAAAUACUAGGACAUAUUUAAUGCACAAUUGACAAAAUGGUUGGGUGUAAAAAGUUUUGAUCCACCUCUCGUGAAAAAGACAAAUUUCCGCCGAUUCAGUUGGAAGCGGGUCAAAUUUGAACUGCAGCUGCCUCAUAGUUUGCUAUUUAUUUUUUCCAAAAAUCAUUUCUAGUUACAUAAGUACCUAUUUCAUAAAUAUAUGGUUUGGUGGCGAUACGUCAAGGUUUGGGCGGUGGACGAGGGCCCCAACUCUAGAGCGCGUAAACUCGCAUGCCCACCGCGUGACCGUGGCGUUGCCAUGUGUUUUGGGCGGCCUAGGCAUGUCUAGUGGGUUGGGCACUCCCCAGGUAGGCGCUAGGAAGAAAAUUACAACAUAAGAUUCUCACGAGGAGACCGAUCGAUGCUCAAACAUGAAUUAGCAGCCAAGUGUUUGAUUAGCGGUACGAGAAAUGUACAUGGCUAAUGGACGUGAGUUUUGGCUGAGGAUGAUCAGUUACUAAGAAGACCGUCUUCACAAAUUUUCAGCUCAAAAGGAGGAGCCUAGGUUGUACUUGCUUUGCAAAGUACCACACUGGACAUAAAUACGAAUGUUGAAGCUGGGCUCAAAAUAAUGAAUGGAUUGAGCUGGCAUUUGGUGUAGGAUGGUUAUUUGGGCAUAGGAAAGCACUGUAGAAAAUGGAUACUAUUUGGACAUGCCAAAGUGGUACUUCCUUCACAAAGUGCUGCUCUGAACAGAAUAGGAAAAUGAAUAUUGUUGAAUUAUUUUUGAACUAGGCAAGGAAGGUUUUUGACAUAUUUGAUGAAGAUAUGAUCCAAACAAUUUAUGAGAAUUUUUUGGGAAUUUUUGGAAUAACAGAAAUAUAGGCUGCUUCACAACCUAGGGCAAAAAUUGACACAUGGACAUGACACAUAGGCAAAACUGAUGAGAUGGCGCCUAGUCAUCGCAACCCACCACAAUUUACAAGGCUAUGACCAUCUAUAUUGGUCGUUAACAACUAGAAAUAAGGCAGCGGACUAGCGCUGUUUGCUUUAUGACCAUUUCGUGUAAGGAAAUUACGACCUUUCUGACCAAAAUGGUCGCAAUGGUUUAGGGUUUGGAGCCCCCCGAACAGCUUUUGACCAAUUGGUCUCAAAUGGUCAUAGAUCUAUGACCAAUUCUGGGUCACUGACAGAAGGUCACUAGUUGACAUAUUUCUUGUAGUGCACUCUGUGUGAGGAGCACUCGGAGAUCCCGAUUCGUCAUAGACUUAAACCUCCAAAACCUCUUUGUGCAUCUCGGUCUGACCGAUUCAUCCUUUUCGGUCCUACCGAGUCACCAAGUUGAUCUAGGGUUUUCAAUCUCAGUGCAACCGAUUAGAACUUUUCGGUCACACCGAGUUGCAGUAACUGCUUGCAGUUUUGCAUCUCGGUGCCAGCGAGUCGUUCCACUCUGUCACACCGACAGGGCCAGGUUAUAUAUACCGCUGGGUCAAAUUUGGAAAUUUCUCCAAACCCCUUCGCCCGCGCGUAACCUACUCUGCCUCCUCUGGUCUCCGGAUCGUCCUCUCGUCGCCAGCGACCUCCCGCCGCUGGUCUCCGCCGCCGUCAACGGAAAUCUUCUCCGCCGUUGUCGCCGUAGCAAGUUCGUCGCCGCACUAGGGUACGAACUUGAUCAUUGUGCUAAUCUUUAACUCUGAUUCUUAGCACAUUGCUUUGCCAUGUUUCUUGCCAUAAUUGAAAUCAUCCUGUCCAGCGAAAACGUCUCAUAGAUUAGUUUUGAUUUGAAAAUUUAGGGUUAGGUCUCCGCCGAAUUCAUCUCGGACCGACCGAGUUGUAGAAAUCGGUCUCACCGAUUUUGGCUUAGGCCAGAGCACACGCAUUUUCGGUCCGACCAAAAAUUGCAAAUCGGUGUGACCGAGUUCGAUUCUCUGUGAAACCCUAGCAGUCUCGGUACCACCGAACUGUGACUCGGUCUGACCGAGUUCACUAGUUCAGGUUCCAAAAGCUGCUUCGGUAUCACCAAGUUUACAAAUCGGUAGAUCCGAAAUGCUUUCUGUGAAGAACUAAAACUAAAUUUUUAAGUCAUCUGUUUUGCAAAAACUCCUGUACUUUGUGAUGCUCAUCUACUCUACCUCAUCUAUAACCUAUUCACAGGGUCUGCUGACACUGUACUUGCAAGAUGUCUGACCAAAGUGAUAGCCAGAACAAGUCAGAGGAACAUGUUCAGUUAAGUGAGGGCACUAGUCCCUCUAGCAGCUAUGAUGAAGGCAGCAGGAGCACUCCAAGCAAUCUGCCAAAGGCUGCUACCAGAACAAGGAAGAAGAGGACUUCUGACUCUGAAGAUGAAGAUUAUGUGGUUGUUGAAGAUGAAGCCACUUCAAAGAAGAAAGUGCUGAAGAAAGAGUAUGGCACAGCUACUGCAACUAAGCCAGGUCUGAAAACUAAGAUGCCAGCAAGAAGACAGCCCAUGUCUAAGCCAAGGAAAGUUGCCACAGGAGAAACAAUGGAGUUCACUCUUGAACCCAAGGAAACUGGAGAUGGUAAGAAGAGGAAAGAAAGGGUUAAGAAGACCAUUGCCAGAGUUAUUGGUAAACCUUCAAUGAUGAGAGAUUCUGAAGAAGAGGAAGAGGAAGAGGAUGCAGCACCAGCACCCAACGCUCAAAAGCUUAUGGGAGAUGCAAUUAAGGCAGGGGCUGCUCCAUCUAAGCCCAAAACUGCUCCUAAGACUGCUGGUCCAGCUCCAAAGCCAAAACCCAAGAGGAGCACCAGGAACAUCCCUGCUGAAGAGAAGAACAAGGCCCCAGUGCCUCAAGCUGUUGAAGAAGAAGAGGAAGAUGAUUCUGUUGUUUUGAGGAAGCUGAAGCCCAAGAUCCCUGAUCACAAUGAUGCACACCCAGUUGCAGAGAAUAUGAAAAUCAGGAAGGAUUCAGGAUUGAGGCUAUGGAGAGAGUCUGAUCCAUAUGCCACCAGGAGAAGGACUGUGUUGGAAAUAUGCCCUAGAGGCAAUAAUAAAAUGGUUAUUAUUAUAUUUUCUUGUUCAUGAUAAUUGUCUAUUGUUCAUGCUAUAAUUGUGUUAUCCGAAAAUCGUAAUACAUGUGUGAAUACAUAGACCACAACAUGUCCCUAGUGAGCCUCUAGUUGACUAGCUCGUUGAUCAACAGAUAGUCAUGGUUUCCUGACUAUGGACAUUGGAUGUCAUUGAUAACGGGAUCACAUCAUUAGGAGAAUGAUGUGAUGGACAAGACCCAAUCCUAAGCAUAGCACAAGAUCGUGUAGUUCGUUUGCUAGAGCUUUUCCAAAUGUCAAGUAUCAUUUCCUUAGACCAUGAGAUUGUGCAACUCCCGGAUACCAUAGGAGUGCUUUGGGUGUGCCAAACGUCACAACGUAACUGGGUGGCUAUAAAGGUGCACUACGGGUAUCUCCGAAAGUGUCUGUUGGGUUGGCACGAAUCGAGACUGGGAUUUGUCACUCCGUAUGACGGAGAGGUAUCUCUGGGCCCACUCGGUAAUGCAUCAUCAUAAUGAGCUCAAUGUGACCAAGUGUUUGGUCACGGUAUCAUGCAUUACGGUACGAGUAAGUGACUUGCCGGUAACGAGAUUGAACAAGGUAUUGGGAUACCGACGAUCGAAUCUCGGGCAAGUAACGUACCGAUUAACAAAGGGAAUUGUAUACGGGAUUGAUUGAAUCCUCGACAUCGUGGUUCAUCCGAUGAGAUCAUCAUGGAACAUGUGGGAGGCAACAUGGGUAUCCAGAUCCCGCUGUUGGUUAUUGACCGGAGAGUCGUCUCGGUCAUGUCUGCAUGUCUGCCGAACCCGUAGGGUCUACACACUUAAGGUUCGGUGACGCUAGGGUUGUAGAGAUAUUAGUAUGCGGAAAUCCGAAAGUUGUUCGGAGUCCCGGAUGAGAUCCCGGACGUCACGAGGAGUUCCGGAAUGGUCAGGAGGUAAAGAUUUAUAUAUGGGAAGUCCUAUUUUGGCCACCGGAAAAUGUUCGGGAUUUUUCGGUAUUGUACCGGGAAGGUUCUAGAAGGUUCCGGAGUGGGGCCCACCUGCAUGGGGGGACCCACAUGAACGUGGGUAGUGGGGGCAAGGCCCCACACCCCUGGUCAAGGCGCACCAAGAUCCCCCCUUAGAAGGAAUAAGAUCAUAUCCCGAAGGGAUAAGAUCAAGAUCCCUAAAAAAGGGGGAUAACAAUCGGUGGGGAAGGGAAAUGGUGGGAUUUCUUUCCCCCACCUUUGCCAACGCCCCAAUGGACUUGGAGGGCAAGAAACCAGCCCCCUCCACCCCUAUAUAUAGUGGGGAGGCGCAUGGGAGCCGUACCCCUGCCCCUGGCGCCUCCCUCUCCCUCCCGUGACNNNNNNNNNNGUGACGCUAGGGUUGUAGAGAUAUUAGUAUGCGGAAAUCCGAAAGUUGUUCGGAGUCCCGGAUGAGAUCCCGGACGUCACGAGGAGUUCCGGAAUGGUCCGGAGGUAAAGAUUUAUAUAUGGGAAGUCCUAUUUUGGCCACCGGAAAAUGUUCGGGAUUUUUCGGUAUUGUACCGGGAAGGUUCUAGAAGGUUCCGGAGUGGGGCCCACCUGCAUGGGGGGACCCACAUGAACGUGGGUAGUGGGGGCAAGGCCCCACACCCCUGGUCAAGGCGCACCAAGAUCCCCCCUUAGAAGGAAUAAGAUCAUAUCCCGAAGGGAUAAGAUCAAGAUCCCUAAAAAAGGGGGAUAACAAUCGGUGGGGAAGGGAAAUGGUGGGAUUUCUUUCCCCCACCUUUGCCAACGCCCCAAUGGACUUGGAGGGCAAGAAACCAGCCCCCUCCACCCCUAUAUAUAGUGGGGAGGCGCAUGGGAGCCGUACCCCUGCCCCUGGCGCCUCCCUCUCCCUCCCGUGACACCUCUCCCUCUCGCUGAGCUUGGCGAAGCCCUGCCGAGAUCCCCGCUGCUUCCACCACCACGCCGUCGUGCUGCUGGAUCUCCAUCAACCUCUCCCUCCCCCUUGCUGGAUCAAGAAGGAGGAGACGUCUUCCCCAACCGUACGUGUGUUGAACGCGGAGGUGCCGUCCGUUCGGCGCUCGGUCAUCGGUGAUUUGGAUCACGACGAGUACGACUCCAUCAACCCCGUUCACUUGAACGCUUCCGCUCGCGAUCUACAAGGGUAUGUAGAUGCACUCUUUUCCCUCUCGUUGCUAGAAGACUCCAUAGAUUGUUCUUUGUGAUGCGUAGAAAAAUUUUAAUUUCUGCAACGAUCUCCAACAGUGGCAUCAUGAGCCAGGUUUAUGCGUAGUUUCUAUGCACGAGUAGAACACAAACUUGUUGUGGGCGUAGAUGUUGUCAAUUUUCUUGCCACUACUAGUCUUAUCUUGUUUCGGCGGCAUCGUGGGAUGAAGCGGCCCGGACCGACCUUACACGUACGCUUACGUGAGACAGGUUCCACCGACUGACAUGCACUAGUUGCAUAAGGUGGCUAGCGGGUGUCUGUCUCUCCCACUUUAGUCGGAUCGGAUUCGAUGAAAAGGGUCCUUAUGAAGGGUAAAUAGAAGUUGGCAUAUCACGUUGUGGUUUUACGUAGGUAAGAAACGUUCUUUCUAGAAACCUAUAGAAGCCACGUAAAAACAUGCAACAACAAUUAGAGGACGUCUAACUUGUUUUUGCACCAUAUGCCUUGUGAUGUGAUAUGACCAAAAGGAUGUGAUGAAUGAAAUAUAUGUGAUGUAUGAGAUUGAUCAUGUUCUUGUAAUAGGAAUCACGACUUGCAUGUCGAUGAGUAUGACAACCGGCAGGAGCCAUAGGAGUUGUCCUUAUUUUUUGUAUGACCUGCGUGUCAUUGAAUAACGCCAUGUAAAUUACUUUACUUUAUUGCUAAACACGUUAGCCAUAGAAGUAGAUGUAAUCGUUGGCGUGACAACUUCAUGAAGACACGAUGAUGGAGAUCAUGGUGUCAUGCCGGUGACGAAGAUGAUCAUGGCGCCCCGAAGAUGGAGAUCAAAGGAGUAAUAUGAUACUGGCCAUAUCAUGACACUAUUUGAUUGCAUGUGAUGUUUAUCAUGUUUUACAUCUUAUUUGCUUAGAACGACGGUAGCUUAAAUAAGAUGAUCCCUCGCAAUAAUUUCAAUAAAGUGUUCCCCCUAACUGUGCACCAUUGCGAAGGUUCGUUGUUUCGAAGCACCACGUGAUGAUCGGGUGUGAUAGAUUCUAACGUUCGAAUACAACGGGUGUAAGCCAGAUUUACACACGCAAUACACUUAGGUUGACUUGACGAGCCUAGCAUGUACAGACAUGGCCUCGGAACACGGAAGACCGAAAGGUCGAGCAUGAGUCGUAUAGAAGAUACGAUCAACAUGAAGAUGUUCACCGAUGUUGACUAGCCCGUCUCACGUGAUGAUCGGACACGGCCUAGUUGACUCGGAUCAUGUUUCACUUAGAUGACUAGAGGGAUGUCUAUCUGAGUGGGAGUUCAUUGAAUAAUUUGAUUAGAUGAACUUAAUUAUCAUGAACUUAGUCUAAAAUCUUUACAAUAUGUCUUGUAGAUCAAAUGGCCCACGCUAAUGUUGCCCUCAACUUCAACGCGUUCCUAGAGAAAACCAAGCUGAAAGAUGAUGGCAGCAACUAUACGGACUGGGUCCGGAACCUGAGGAUCAUCCUCAUAGCUGCCAAGAAAGAUUAUGUCCUAGAAGCACCACUAGGUGACGCACCCAUCCCAGAGAACCAAGACGUUAUGAACGCUUGGCAGCAGCGUGCUGAUGAUUACUCCCUCGUUCAGUGCGGCAUGCUUUACAGCUUAGAACCGGGGCUCCAAAAGCGUUUUGAGCAACACGGAGCAUAUGAGAUGUUCGAAGAGCUGAAAAUGGUUUUCCAAGCUCAUGCCCGGGUCGAGAGAUAUGAAGUCUCCGACAAGUUCUUCAGUUGUAAGAUGGAGGAAAAUAGUUCUGUCAGUGAGCACAUACUCAAAAUGUCUGGGUUACACAACCGCUUGACUCAGUUGGGAGUUAAUCUCCCGGAUGAUGCGGUCAUUGACAGAAUCCUUCAGUCGCUUCCACCGAGCUACAAGAGCUUUGUGAUGAACUUCAAUAUGCAGGGGAUGGAAAAGACCAUUCCUGAGGUAUAUUCAAUGCUGAAAUCAGCGGAGGUGGAGAUCAAAAAGGAACAUCAAGUGUUGAUGGUGAAUAAAACCACUAAGUUCAAGAAAGGCAAGGGUAAGAAGAACUUCAAGAAGGACGGCAAGGGAGUUGCCGCGCCCGGUAAGCCAGUUGCCGGGAAGAAGCCAAAGAAUGGACCCAAGCCUGAGACUGAGUGCUUUUAUUGCAAGGGAAGUGGUCACUGGAAGCGGAACUGCCCCAAGUACUUAGCGGACAAGAAGGCCGGCAACACCAAAGGUAUAUGUGAUAUACAUGUUAUUGAUGUGUGCCUUACCUGCACUCGUAGUAGCUCCUGGGUAUUUGAUACCGGUGCGGUUGCUCAUAUUUGUAACUCAAAGCAGGAGGUGCGGAAUAAACGGAGACUGGCAAAGGCCGAGGUGACGAUGCGCGUCGGGAAUGGUUCCAAGGUCGAUGUGAUCGCCGUCGGCACGCUACCUCUACAUUUACCUACAGGAUUAGUUUUAAACCUCAAUAAUUGUUAUUUAGUGCCAGCUUUGAGUAUCAGGAUCUCGUUUAAUUCGAGAUGGCUACUCAUUUAAAUCCGAGAAUAAUGGUUGUUCUAUUUAUAUGAGGGAUAUGUUUUAUGGUCAUGCCCCGCUGGUUAAUGGUUUAUUCUUAAUGAAUCACGAACGUAGUGUUACACAUAUUCAUAGUGUGAAUACCAAAAGAUGUAAGGUUGAUAAUGAUAGUCCCACAUACUUGUGGCACUGCCGUCUUGGUCACAUUAGUGUCAAACGCAUGAAGAAGCUCCAUGCAGAUGGACUUUUGGAGUCUCUUGAUUACGAAUCAUUUGACACGUGCGAACCAUGCCUCAUGGGUAAGAUGACCAAGACUCUGUUCUCCGGAACAAUGGAGCGAGCAACCAACUUAUUGGAAAUCAUACAUACUGAUGUGUGCGGUCCAAUGAGUGUUGAGGCUCGCGGUGGCUAUCGUUAUGUUCUCACUCUCACUGAUGACUUGAGUAGAUAUGGGUAUGUCUACCUAAUGAAACACAAGUCUGAGACCUUUGAAAAGUUCAAGAAAUUUCAGAGUGAGGUUGAGAAUCAACGUGACAGAAAAAUAAAGUUCUUACGAUCAGAUCGUGGAGGGGAAUAUUUGAGUCACGAAUUUGGCACACACUUAAGGAAAUGUGGAAUAGUUCACAACUCACGCCGCCUGGAACACCUCAGCGAAAUGGUGUGUCCGAACGUCGUAAUCGCACUCUAUUGGAUAUGGUGCGAUCUAUGAUGUCUCUUACCGAUCUACCGCUCUCAUUUUGGGGCUAUGCUUUAGAGACUGCCGCAUUCACUUUAAAUAGGGCUCCGUCGAAAUCCGUUGAGACGACACCGUAUGAAUUAUGGUUUGGGAAGAAACCUAAGCUGUCGUUUCUAAAAGUUUGGGGAUGCGAUGCUUAUGUCAAGAAACUUCAACCUGAAAAGCUCGAACCCAAGUCGGAAAAAUGCAUCUUCAUAGGAUACCCUAAGGAAACCAUUGGGUAUACCUUCUACCUCAGAUCCGAAGGCAAGAUCUUUGUUGCCAAGAACGGGUCCUUUCUAGAGAAAGAGUUUCUCUCGAAAGAAGUAAGUGGGAGGAAAGUGGAACUUGAUGAAGUACUGCCUCUUGAACCGGAAAGUAGCGCAGCUCAGGAAGAUGUUCCUGUGGUGCCUGCACUGACUAGAGAGGAAGCUAAUGAUGAUGAUCAAGGUACUUCGGAUCAAGUUACUACUGAACUUCGUAGGUCCACGAGGACACGUUCCACACCAGAGUGGUAUGGCAAGCCUGUCCUGGAAAUCAUGUUGUUAGACAACGGUGAACCUUCGAACUAUGAAGAAGCAAUGGCAGGCCCAGAUUCCAACAAAUGGCUUGAAGCCAUGCAAUCCGAGAUAGGAUCCAUGUAUGAAAACAAAGUGUGGACUUUGACAGACUUGCCCGAUGAUCGGCGAGCGAUAGAAAACAAAUGGAUCUUUAAGAAGAAGACGGACGCGGAUGGUAAUGUUACCAUCUAUAAAGCUCGACUUGUCGCUAAGGGUUAUCGACAAGUUCAAGGGGUUGACUACGAUGAGACUUUCUCACCCGUAGCGAAGCUGAAGUCCGUCCGAAUCAUGUUAGCAGUUGCCGCAUACUAUGAUUAUGAGAUAUGGCAAAUGGACGUCAAAACGGCAUUCCUUAAUGGCUUUCUUAAGGAAGAAUUGUAUAUGAUGCAGCCGGAAGGUUUUGUCGAUCCUAAGAAUGCUAACAAGGUAUGCAAGCUCCAGCGCUCCAUCUAUGGGCUGGUGCAAGCAUCUCGGAGUGGGAACAUUUGAUUUGAUGAGAUGAUCAAAGCGUUUGGGUUUACACAGACUUAUGGGGAAGCCUGUGUUUACAAGAAAGUGAGUGGGAGCUCUGUAGCAUUUCUCAUAUUAUAUGUGGAUGACAUACUGUUGAUGGGAAAUGAUAUAGAAUUCUUGGGAAGCAUAAAGGCCUACUUGAACAAGUGUUUUUCAAUGAAGGACCUUGGAGAAGCUGCUUAUAUAUUAGGCAUCAAGAUCUAUAGAGAUAGAUCAAGACGCCUCAUUGGUCUUUCACAAAGUACGUACCUUGACAAGAUAUUGAAGAAGUUCAAUAUGGAUCAGUCCAAGAAGGGGUUCUUGCCUAUAUUGCAAGGUGUGCAAUUGAGCACGGCUCAAUGCCCGACCACGGCAGAAGAUAGAGAAAAGAUGAGUGUCGUCCCCUAUGCCUCGGCCGUAGGGUCUAUUAUGUAUGCCAUGCUGUGUACCAGACCUGAUGCAAACCUUGCCGUAAGUUUGGUAGGAAGGUACCAAAGUAAUCCCGGCAUGGAACACUGGACAGCGGUCAAGAAUAUCCUGAAGUACCUGAAGAGGACUAAGAAUAUGUUUCUCGUUUAUGGAGGUGACAAAGAGCUCGUCGUAAAGGGUUACGUCGAUGCUAGUUUCGACACAGAUCUGGAUGACUCUAAGUCACAAACCGGAUACGUGUAUAUUUUGAAUGGUGGGGCAGUAAGCUGGUGCAGUUGCAAGCAAAGCGUUGUGGCGGGAUCUACAUGUGAAGCGGAAUACAUGGCGGCCUCAGAGGCAGCACAAGAAGCAAUCUGGGUGAAGGAGUUCAUUACCGACCUAGGAGUUAUUCCCAAUGCGUCGGGCCCGAUGACUCUCUUCUGUGACAACACUGGAGCUAUUGCCCUUGCCAAGGAGCCCAGGUUUCACCGGAAGACCAGGCAUAUCAAGCGUCGCUUCAACUCCAUUCGUGAAAAUGUUCAAAAUGGAGAAAUAGAUAUUUGUAAAGUACAUACGGACCUGAAUGUAGCAGAUCCGUUGACUAAACCUCUCCCUAGAGCAAAACAUGAUCAACACAAGAACUCUAUGGGUGUUCGAUUCAUCACAAUGUAACUAGAUUAUUGACUCUAGUGCAAGUGGGAGACUGUUGGAAAUAUGCCCUGGAGGCAAUAAUAAAAUGGUUAUUAUUAUAUUUCCUUGUUCAUGAUAAUUGCCUAUUGUUCAUGCUAUAAUUGUGUUAUCCGGAAAUCAUAAUACAUGUGUGAAUACAUAGACCACAACAUGUCCCUAGUGAGCCUCUAGUUGACUAGCUCGUUGAUCAACAGAUAGUCAUGGUUUCCUGACUAUGGACAUUGGAUGUCAUUGAUAACGGGAUCACAUCAUUAGGAGAAUGAUGUGAUGGACAAGACCCAAUCCUAAGCAUAGCACAAGAUCGUGUAGUUCGUUUGCUAGAGCUUUUCCAAAUGUCAAGUAUCAUUUCCUUAGACCAUGAGAUUGUGCAACUCCCGGAUACCAUAGGAGUGCUUUGGGUGUGCCAAACGUCACAACGUAACUGGGUGGCUAUAAAGGUGCACUACGGGUAUCUCCGAAAGUGUCUGUUGGGUUGGCACGAAUCGAGACUGGGAUUUGUCACUCCGUAUGACGGAGAGGUAUCUCUGGGCCCACUCGGUAAUGCAUCAUCAUAAUGAGCUCAAUGUGACCAAGUGUUUGGUCACGGGAUCAUGCAUUACGGUACGAGUAAAGUGACUUGCCGGUAACGAGAUUGAACAAGGUAUUGGGAUACCGACGAUCGAAUCUCGGGCAAGUAACGUACCGAUUGACAAAGGGAAUUGUAUACGGGAUUGAUUGAAUCCUCGACAUCGUGGUUCAUCCGAUGAGAUCAUCGUGAAACAUGUGGGAGGCAACAUGGGUAUCCAGAUCCCGCUGUUGGUUAUUGACCGGAGAGUCGUCUCGGUCAUGUCUGCAUGUCUCCCGAACCCGUAGGGUCUACAAACUUAAGGUUCGGUGACGCUAGGGUUGUAGAGAUAUUAGUAUGCGGAAAUCCGAAAGUUGUUCGGAGUCCCGGAUGAGAUCCCGGACGUCACGAGGAGUUCCGGAAUGGUCCGGAGGUAAAGAUUUAUAUAUGGGAAGUCCUAUUUUGGCCACCGGAAAAUGUUCGGGAUUUUUCGGUAUUGUACCGGGAAGGUUCUAGAAGGUUCCGGAGUGGGGCCCACCUGCAUGGGGGGACCCACAUGAACGUGGGUAGUGGGGGCAAGGCCCCACACCCCUGGUCAAGGCGCACCAAGAUCCCCCCUUAGAAGGAAUAAGAUCAUAUCCCGAAGGGAUAAGAUCAAGAUCCCUAAAAAAGGGGGAUAACAAUCGGUGGGGAAGGGAAAUGGUGGGAUUUCUUUCCCCCACCUUUGCCAACGCCCCAAUGGACUUGGAGGGCAAGAAACCAGCCCCCUCCACCCCUAUAUAUAGUGGGGAGGCGCAUGGGAGCCGUACCCCUGCCCCUGGCGCCUCCCUCUCCCUCCCGUGACACCUCUCCCUCUCGCUGAGCUUGGCGAAGCCCUGCCGAGAUCCCCGCUGCUUCCACCACCACGCCGUCGUGCUGCUGGAUCUCCAUCAACCUCUCCCUCCCCCUUGCUGGAUCAAGAAGGAGGAGACGUCUUCCCCAACCGUACGUGUGUUGAACGCGGAGGUGCCGUCCGUUCGGCGCUCGGUCAUCGGUGAUUUGGAUCACGACGAGUACGACUCCAUCAACCCCGUUCACUUGAACGCUUCCGCUCGCGAUCUACAAGGGUAUGUAGAUGCACUCUUUUCCCUCUCGUUGCUAGAAGACUCCAUAGAUUGUUCUUGGUGAUGCGUAGAAAAUUUUUAAUUUUUGCAACGAUCUCCAACAAACUGCUGUGGACUACAGAUUCCACACUAAGGAACAGCAGGACUUCUAUGAGACUAUUUUACUUGACAAGAAGCCCAUAGUGUGUGACAUGAGAUGGGUUGAUUGGAAAUUCAUCAAGGAAAAUGAGGAUCACUUCCCUGGUGUAUAUGACAGCUUCAAGGCAUGUGGAGUUGAUGAGUUUGUGGCUCAGAAGUUCACCAAGUGGAAUGAUGAGCUCAUUAUGCAAUUUUACUCCACUGCACACUUCUAUCCAGAUGGAAAGAUUGUGUGGGUGUCUGAGGGUACUAGGUACCAGUCUACAGUUGAAGAAUGGGCAAAACUCAUAAAUGCUCCUGAGGAACAUGAGGAUGACUUGGAUGUCUAUGCCAAGAAGAAGAAAGACCACAACUCUAUGGCCAAUAUGUACAAAGAGAUCCCUGAUGCUGCUUUGGACACACAUAAGUUUGGAUCUGUACACAAUUUGUUGUCUGGUCUGCCAACAAUCAAUUGGAUUCUGAGGCACACACUUCUACCCAAGUCAGGUGAUCACAAGAUGAUCAGAGGACAUGCUAUCAACUUGCUGCACAUAUUUGAUGUCCCACAAAAGUUCAAGGUUAUGAGCCUGAUUGUGGAAACAAUCAAGAGGACUGCAGCUAAUCAGAAGAGAAGUUGUGGAUAUGCCCCACACAUCCAGGAGCUCAUCAACUCAAAGAUGGGCAAAGGCAAGUACAUCUUGGACAAGGAGCAUCUACCCAUCUAUCCUGAAUUUGAGGACAACACAGUUGUCAUGACUGAGAAUGAACCAUCAUCUGUGCAAGCACAAGAGAAGAAAGCCAAAGCUAAAGCUGAGAAGGCUGCAAAGAUGCCAACUGUGGAAGAGGCAUCUCAGGUCUUCUUGAAGAGCAAGCAAGACCAGCUUGGAUAUCUGAUCCAAUCCACUCUGAGGAUUGAGCAGGGCCUGGCCACCCUGACCAAGAACCAGGAGAGCUUGGAAAGGAUUGUUGAGAAAAUUCUAUGACCUUGAUGUCAAGAUCACAGAGAUCCAAACUGCAGUUGAGCAACUUCAGGAGGAAGCAGAGGAGAAGAAGGGCAAGUCUACCACAGAUGCAUUUGCUAGAGUGCCCAGAGGACAGAGAUCUGCUGCAGUGCCAGUGACAGACACUAGAGCUACAGCAUCAGCACCAGCAGCUACAGCUCCAGUUCCAACUCCAGCUGCUACUCCACCAGCUCCAGCCACUUCAUCAGAAGCUUUCGUUCUUGGCGUUCUCUCAACACCACCUCCCGAAGAUCAAGCUUGAGAGUCGUUCAACACUAUGCAUUUUCAAACUUUUUGGUAACUUGUUGCCAAAGGGGGAGAAAAAUGUAUAGGUCAUAGGCUUCGAGAGAGAGAGUGUUGGUUUUUAUCUCUCUUUGCACUCUUUUUGGUUGGUUUGAAACUUUACUGCGUGCUUGUGUGAUACUACUUUGUGUCCUUGUGAGAUACUUAUUUGGUCAAGUGUUUGAUCAUAUGCUACCCUUAAUGCUUGUUGGAUAAUGCUAUCUUUCGUAUCCUAUUAUGAUCAUUCACUUUGCUUGGUGAUGAGUGCAUGCUUUUAAUCUCUAUCAUUUUGAGCGCUCCACCAAGAUGUAUGUGACAUGGAAGAGUAACCCAUGAUCCUAAUCGAUUGUGCAUUUGCAUUCAAAAGCAAAUCUUAAAUAAUGCACAAAUUUAGGGGGAGCUCUUGCUUAUCACAUACUUCUCAAAGCGACGAUGUUUUUCAAUCUUAUUUAUCAUUUGUCGAAGCUUUGAUCUAUAUGUUGUCAUCAAUUACCAAAAAGGGGGAGAUUGAAAGUGCAACUAUCCCUAGGUGGUUUUGGUAAUUCCUAACAACAUAUAGCUCACUGAGCUAAUGCUAUUCCAAGAUAAAUAUUUCAGGAAAGCUCAAUGUUUGGCAUGGCAUGGAUUAGAAAGUGGACCCUUCAAAAUGCUAAGGACAAAGGAUUGGCUCAAGCUCAAAGCACAAGACUCUACAUUUUUUAUUUUAGUGAUCCAAGAUCACAUUGAGUCUAUAGGAAAAGCCAAUACUAUUAAGAAGGGAUGAGGUGUUGCUUAAUGAGGAUCUUGCUCAAAAUGCUUAGUGAUAUGCUCCAAAAUCCUCCACUACUUUCUCAUAUCCACAUAUGUCCUAAACCAAAAAGUCCAACUCGGCCCCACCAAAGUUUCUCAUCCGGAGCCACCGAGUUCAGUUGACAUAGCCACUGCCAGAAACCCUAAUCAAUUCGGUCUCACCGAUAGGGAUCUCGGUCUCACCGAGAUGGGAUUGCAAACUCUCUGUUUCCCUUCGUAACGUUUCGGUCAAACCGAGAUGAGCGAUCGGUCCCACCGAGAUUGCAAUGCAAACUCUCUGUUUCCUUUUCGUAACGUUUCGGUCCAACCGAGAUGAGCGAAUCGGUCCCACCGAGUUUGCCUGACCAACUCUCUGUUUGGCUAUUACCAAAAUCGGUCUCACCGAGUUUGUGUAAUCGGUCUCACCGAGAUUACGUUAUGCCCUAACCCUAAUGACAUCGGUCCCACCGAGUUGACAUGUCGGUCCCACCGAGAAUCCUAACGUUCACAUUUUGAACUAAAUCGGUCCGACCGAGUUUAAUGAUUCGGUCCCACCGAAUUUGGUGAUUUGUGUGUAACGGUUAGAUUUUGUGUGGAGUCUAUAUAUACCCCUCCACCCACUCUUCAUUUGUGGAGAGAGCCAUCAGAACAUGCCUACACUUCCAAUACAUAUUUUCUGAGAGAGAACCACCUACACUUGUGUUGAGGUCAAGAUAUUCCAUUCCAACCACAUAAAUCUUUAUCUCUAGCCUUCCCCAAGUUGUUUUCCACUCAAAUCUUCUUUCUACCAAAUCCAAUCCUAUGAGAGAGAGUUGAGUGUUGGGGAGACUAUCAUUUGAAGCACAAGAGCAAGGAGUUCAUCAUCAACACACCAUUUGUUACUUCUUGGAGAGUGGUGUCUCCUAGAUUGGCUAGGUGUCACUUGGGAGCCUCUGACAAGAUUGUGGAGUUGAACCAAGGAGUUUGUAAGGGCAAGGAGAUCGCCUACUUCGUGAAGAUCUACCCUAGUGAGGCAAGUCCUUCGUGGGCGACGGCCAUGGUGGGAUAGACAAGGUUGCUUCUUCGUGGACCCUUCGUGGGUGGAGCCCUACGUGGACUCGCGCAACCGUUACCCUUCGUGGGUUGAAGUCUCCAUCAACGUGAAUGUACGAUAGCACCACCUAUCGGAACCAUGGAUAAAAAAUCUCUGUGUCAACAUUGCGUUUGCUCCCUCAAACUCAUCCCUUUACCUUCAUAUGCAAUUGUCUUACAUUCCGCUGCUAUACUCUUAGAAUUGCAUGUGUAUGUUGAUUGCUUGAUUUGUGCUAAGUUGCUAAAAUCUGCCAAGAACUAAAAUUGGGAAAAGGCUAGAUUUUUAUUUGAUCAAGUAGUCUAAUCACCCCCCCCCCUCUAGACAUACUUCCGAUCCUACACGCAACUUUGUCCGGUCGUGGAUGCUGGGCAUGGAGCAGCUCGGUGCCCGCUCUCUAUUCACUAGUAUGUCUCAACCGGGUGAGCAAGCAUAUGAUGACACAGACAGGGAGAUGAUGGACAUGAUCUACGAGGGAGCUAGAGGCUGCUUUGAGGACGGGCAUGUGAUUGACUAGGAGCCGGAGGUGCACACCCAACAACCAGUCAUGUACAAGCAGCCGAUCAUGUACACCUAGCAGGCGGGCACGUACAGCGGCCAACCGGAGUAGGACGACGACGAUGACAACCUUGAUCUAGAGGAAUUUGCGACCGAUCCAAAGAGGGGAGGGGAUUAGAGGAGAAACCUUCAACAUGCGGCACGAGAAGUUGGUGUGCGAUGCGUGGGGCACGUACAACAGCCAACCGGAGUAGGACGACGACGAUGACAACCUUGAUCUAGAGGAAUUUGCGACCGAUCCAAAGAGGGGAGGGGAUUAGAGGAGAAACCUUCAACAUGCGGCAUGAGAAGUUGGUGUGCGAUGCGUGGUUGGCCACUAGCAUCUAUCAGAUCCAUGGCACGAAGCAAAAGGUCGCAACUUUGGGCCAACAUUCAUACUUGGUUCCAUGAGCACAAGAUUCUCGAGCCCCAUCGCAACAAACUCAUCCGCAUUAGUGGGACAAAGUCGCUCAACCAUCGAUGAUACACCAUCUAAGAGGCCGUGAGCAACCAUUGAAACAACUAAUUAGUCGGUAGCCAUGUGGUGCACUAAUGACCGAGCACGUAAGUAGUUAUAUGUGUUGUAUAUUUCGCCGGAUAUGUAACUUGUUAGCCGGAUAUGCUCUAUAUGUUGUCCAUUUGGCUGAUAUGCAACUUCUUGGGAAUGUUUUUCUUUCUAGAUUUCUCGUGCGUACAACUUGUUAUUGAAGGUGGAGAAGAGCAGCUUCGUCCUUAUUCAUUGUUGGUUGAAGUUGCAUGGGCAACUCAAGUGGAAUUUAUCCAUUUUCAACUCCAUUAAGACAGCCGGCUUCGGCACCGAGGAAGAAGCGGGUGAUCCAACUGACCCAACGAAAGAGUCAUCCAAGAAGGGUUAGACGAGAGUUCCGGGGAAAGAAGUUGGAGGAGAAGGAGAAACAAGAAGGGGCGGCGGCCAAGAUGACGGAGAGGUUAGAGGACAUCUUGGCAAUGAAGGAGGAGACAUGUGUUAAGCACUCCGACGUGAAGGACCCAGAAUAAGCUCAAACUCGAAUAGAGGAGGGUUGAGUUGGCAGUCGCUUUGGAGGAUACAAAGAUGUUGACCUUAAAGAUGAACGAGUUGGAUGACGAUGCAACGAUGAUCGCAUAAGUCAUCUGUGUUAGGAUAUUGAAGCGCCUGGCGGCCGAGCGGGAGACGGCGGAGAAGGAGGCGGUCGAGAAGGAGACGGAUGGUGAGGAGAAGUCGGCGGCAGAGUGAACGUGAAGGCUCGGAUAUCCGGUCUAGCAGGACAAAAGCGUCUUUUUCGUAUGGACUACCGGACUGAUACUUUUACGAAAACACUAACGCCCACACGUGUGGGCGUUACCCAACUCGCCCACACGCCUGGAUCGUCGUUCACUGUCUUUUGCACGAAUCUUGACAUGAAAAGGUGAAUUUGGUGUGCCACGUAGGACGGGGCUGGUGUGUGGGCGUUGGAGAGUUUGCCCACACGCCCGCACCACGCUGUUUGCCAGCUGCGUUGUGUGGGCGAACUGCUUUUCGCCCACACAGCCACCACCUAGGUCAUGCGUGUGUGGGCGAACUGUUUUUCUCCCACACGACACUCCUACCUUGUGGAUGGCAACUGCAGUUACGCGAAUGUGGCAACUCGGUACACACACAUGGCAACUGUGAUCAUUUGCUACACGGCAACUGCAGUUACGCGAACGUGGCAACUCGGUACACACACAUGGCAACUGUGAUUCUUUGCUACACGGCAACUGCAGUUGUGCGUACGUGGCAACCAGAUAAACACACAUGGACACUGAGAUUAACAAUACAUGGCAACUAUGGUUGGACCACACGUGGCAACUAGGUAGACACACAUGGCAACUACUGUUUUGACCAUAUGUGGCAAGUAGUUAAUCACACACGGCAACUACGGUUUGAUUACACGCGGCAACUACCAUAAAUUAGACAUGGCAACUAUAGUUAACCAAAACAGAUAAAGUUGACAUGCUUUUACAACUACACUUGCCAUCCCAGAUAACUACAUCUGCCAACCAGGAUGGCAACUAAAUCGUCAUCCCGCGGGGUAACUAACGUAGCUGCGUCAGGACGUGUGGGCAUUUUUGCUUCGUGCCACACGCACGGGGUGGAGAUGAGUAAUACUUGUUGGGCGUGUGGCACAAAGUAGCCGCGCCCACACGUGUGGGCAAUUCUAAUGUGCGCGCACACACAGACCGUAUGGGCUGCCUCUUGCUCACACCACACACGGUGUGUUAUGAUCCACGGAAAGGAGGGUCUUCCCGCGGACCAUACUUUUUUAGAAAGAAACCAAGCUUGGACAAUGUCCGGAUCUCUGCUUAUUUUCUACUGAACCGAGGCGGACUCUGCUCUGUAUCGUGCAGAUUUCGCCGCCCGAGCAGGACCCGGAGCCGGAUUCCGAGUCCUGGACUAGGUAGCUCGACUGGUCCUACAAAUUUAGCGAGAACCCGUCCGCUUCGCUCCACCCUGAUCACAACCUUGCCUUUGCGUACCUACGCGUGUUUCGCUCGACGGAUUCGAUCGUCCUCCACGAACACGCAAGCCGGCGUCUACGAUAGACGAGCAGUUCCUCCAAGAUGGCAGGCGAGGGGCGGCCAGCCAGCCCGUUGGCGCCGGCGGAGCCACAGUCACAGCAGCACUACGACGACCACGUCGAUGAGAAGCAGCUCGACGACCAGCAGUUCCACGAGCUGUGUCAGCGAUAUGGGCCCUCGCAUCUUUCUGGCCGCCGCCAGCGGGUGGCCGCCGCGCCGGCUCAGAAGACGGUCCUCGAGAUUCGUUACGACAAGGGCUACCCAGAGUUCUCCGACGGCACCAGCUACAAUGGCAUCGGGGUGGACGACGCGACAGACACCGCGAGUGGCGCAGAGACUAAGAUGAGUCGUCGGAUGAUGAAGAAGCUGGCCCGUGCUGCUGUCUAAAUUAGUUUCUACUACUACUGUAUUUCUUCUGAAAGGCUGUGGCGUCUUAUUUUACAGUUUAGCUAAUUCAGAUCGAUGAACUAGUGCCUCUCGUUGAACGAAAUUAGGAUGUCGACGGAAGUUACAGUCCAUAGGAAUUAUUAAAAGUUGCAAUUGGAGUUUAUGAUUUGUGGAAUUAAAGAACUCGGAAAUUAUUUCUAAAACGUUUUUGUGCUCAAUUUCAAAAGUCAUCCUGUUUUCAUUAGUGGAAAUUAUUCCCCUUUUUUAUCAAAAGGAUAAGCUGUAUUACGUGAUGUUAAUCUACAUUCGAAAAAUCCUUUUGAGGAGGUGUACCGAAGCUUGCCUCUUUUCAAAACAUCAUUCGGUCAUUCUUUUUGUCAAAUGUAUUGUGAAUUUUGCUACAAAACCAUCUUACGCAACGCACUAAUAUUGUGGUAUGGCCAUUAAGCAUUGAUACUCCUGACAUUAGUGGUGUUGUGGAACAACAACUAGCACAUUUGUUGUCCGUACACAAUGGUCAGUUCGAAUUCCAGCUUUGUAUGUAUACUACCUUUACACUUGAAGAUUUAACAAACAUCACAAUAGCAUUAUUUAGUGAUACUGAACUUUCUUAUGAAUAAUCCUAUCUGGUCAACAUCAUAAUCAUUUGUUGCGUCCUUAUGGUUUAUCAUGUCAUGCGACUAAUCCAUUUGAUCUCUUUAGUUGUGGUGUAUGGCAUGCCUUGUAUGUAGCACAUGGAGUUUCAUGCUUUGGUUACAUCGAUCUGGAUAACUCAAUCACAACUCCAAUAGAAUGUUCUAUCUCUAUAAAGAAAUAUAAGAGCGUUUCUGAAUGAUUUGAAUGCUCUUAUAUAUAUAUUUCUUUACCGAGACAGUAGUACACAAUAAUAAAGACAAUCAAGUUUAAUGUCUACAUGAUAUUAAUAUACUGCUCUUUAUCAGGGAAAUGAAAAAGUGAAAAGUAUACUUUUCAUCUCGCAAUUCUUGGCGAAGUCUAGAUUUGGUCCCUUAACUUCAAAACCGGACAACUUGCGCCCUUAACUAUUGAAACCGGCCAAGAUUCAUCCCUGAUCACGGUUUUGACCGCUUUUGGUGUUGUCCCAACCCGGUUUCGACUGUGCCGACUCAAAUUCGCGUACCUUUUCCAGGUCCGCUUAAUGUUUUCAAAUCCGGGUACUUUUUUCAAAUACGUGAACUUUUUAAGAAUUUGUGUACUUUUUCCAAAUCUGCGUACUUUUUCCAAGUUCACGUACUUUUUUUUAAAUCCGCGUACUUCUUUAAAGUUCAUGUGGUUUUUUUCAAAUUCAUGUAAUUUUUAAAAAUUGACAUACUUACUCAUAUUCACGUAUAUUUUUUUGGAUUUGAAAAUUUUAUGCGAACUUGAAAAUGUACGCGGAUUUGAAUAUCUUUUACGCGAAUUAGAAAACAAAUGUGUGGAUUUGAAAAUUUAUGUCAACUUGAAACAAGUAUGUGAAUUUCAAACAAAGUUCAUGGAUAGGAAAAGGAACACGGAUUUGAAAAAAAUACACGAACUUUAAAAAGUAUGCGGAUUUGAAACAAGUACGUGAAUUUCAAAAACAGUUCAUGGAUUUGAAAAAAAAAACACUUGGAUUCGAUAAAAUUACACGAACUUGAAAAAAAUACACUGAUUUGAGAAAAGUACACAAAUUUAAAAAAUCAUGGAUUUGAAAAAAGUACACAAAUUUCAAAAUAGUUCACGGAUUUGAAAAAUGUAUGAUUAUUUUUGAAAAAAUUGCAUGACCUUGAAAAAACUAUGUGGGUUUUAAAAGAGUAUGUGAAUUUCAAAAAGUUCACGGAUAUGAAAAAAUUACGCGAAUUUUAGUCAGCACCGGUCAAAACCGGGGUCAGUCAGCACCAAAACCGGUCAAAAUCGAGACCAGGGACAAACCUUGUCCGGUUUCGUUAGUUGGGGGUGCAAGUUGUCUGGUUUUGAAGUUGAGGGAUCAAAUCUAGAUUUCAUCAAGAGUUGAGAGACAAAAAGUAUACUUUUCUCAUGAAAAAAAUUGUGUGUGAGGGUUAUGGGCUCACUUGUACAACGAGUCAACAACAAUGUGCAAUUGGAUAUCGUGCAUGCCGACGCGCGAGUGACGCAAGCAACAUCACUAUGGGGCCUAUGAAAACUUGAGGACCAUAGAAACUGACGUGGUCACAUAGCUGCACGGAACGAACCAUGGCUGUCGCGCCAUGAACUUCUCUGAAAUAUGGGCAAUUUUUUGUGAAAUUGUCAAUGGUAACUUUAGAUCAUAUUGCAUGGCAAUUCGAUUGUUUGCUAGGAAAACACUCCCAGGGAAUGUUCCCCAGAUAUUGCGGUCCAUUAAAAUUUUGGUUUUGCUAACCUGACGUCCUGUACAUGCGAUCCGUUUUCUCCUGAAUAUGGGAAGUUUGCGUACUCUCAAAAAAAAAAUCAAUGUGGAUGCAGUUCUAGCUAAACAGGGGGGCGUGCUGCUGAGGCGGCAGUAUGCGGAAACCGUGAGGGACUCUACCUCGGCUCCUCCUCUAUCACUUUGAAUCAUAUGAGUGGUGUUCCAUUCCAACCCUUGAAGCUUUGGCGUGUAGAGAAGCUCAAGCAGUAGCAUCUGAUUCGAAUAUUCAGAGUUUUCUCAUCUCUUCGGAUAGUGCUACUGUCAUCAAGGAUAUUGUUGAGCUUGAGCGUGCCGGCUGCCGGGGGUCAAAAUAUGGUGGUAAUCAGAAAACUCAUAGCACGCAAAGAUGAUUUUUAGGCUUGUCAUUUCAUGCAUGAAUCAAGACGGAGAAAUUUCGAGGAUGAUAGUUUAGCUAAAUUUUCUGUUUCUUUAAACUUGUGGAGGCAUGCUCAUGAUCUUGUAACAAUUCCGAUGAACAUCGCUGAUCAAUAAAGCAAUGCAGUUUCCCUAAAGAAAUGCAAUUAUCCCGCCUGAUUGAACGCGUCCAAAAUUUCCAGGAAGCCUAACAGAUUCAUUUUUUCUUAAGCAAGAGAGGCAAAAGAUUGCGCAAGUAGUGAGGGAGUCUCGGAUAUACUAUUAUAUAUACUCCCUCCGUUCCUAAAUAUAAGUCUUUGUAGAGAUUUCACUAUGAACCACAUACGGAUGUAUAUAGAUGCAUUUUAAGUGUAGAUUCGUCUAUUAUGCUCCGUAUGUAGACCACCUAGUGAAAUCUCUACAAAGACUUAUAUUUAGGAACGGAGGGAGUAGAUGGCAUAUACAUUAUGUGACUUCAACUGUUUUCUGUUGUCUGACCUGAAGCAAAUGUACAUCGAUUGUAUGAGAAUACAGUGCUAGCUUGUGUUUUCUGAAUCUAAGAUCAACUCCAGUGAGCAAGUACCAACUUGUAACAGAUUGAUUUGCCCACAAACUAUCCUUAGGGUGCCAAAAAAGAGGUCUAAAUUUUGGAACCUUCUCACUGAUGCUACCAACUAGUCCAACGUGCUUUCCUUAAUUCAACGGCUUAUGCCUCUGACAACUCCAGAUCCAGCAUCAGUCAGUCAGUGCGCACAGUAAGAAACGAAUCCAGAGCUGCUGCACACUUCUAUCAUCAUCUCAGCGGGUGGGCGCCGGUGCCACACAGGUUGAUGAGGUCCAUGAGGGUGGAGUAGAGCACCUCCAGGGACAGGUACCCCAGGAACCUGCACUUCUCCUCCGCCCAGGGGUCGUCCGCCGCCAGCGCCUUCCUGUCCUCCUCCGCCGGUUGGUCCACCGUCAGGUACCACGACACGCACCCAUAAGCAUCGUCUGGGUCGACGUGCGCCACCAGGCCCAGCGUCGUGUCGCCGUGGUCCAGGUCAAAGUAGAGACCUAAAAAGUCCCUCGUCACACUCGUCCCCAGGACCUGCGCCUCCUCGUGGAGCCAGCUUAUCACCUGGCUCGCCACCUGCAGAUACAUACAUAUAUGUGCAGAUGAUCAUCAUGAAGUAGAUCUUGAAGCAACACUUCUAUUGUAAAAUGGAAGCAUGGCAAAGAUCCUAAAAUGUAUCAUCAUAUGUAUUCUCUGCAGUCUGCUCUGAAGCCAUACUGGAACUCAACACUUUCUACUAGUCAGAGAAACUUGGAUGGAGUGCAGGGACUUGAACAAUGAACAUUGUAGCCAAUCACAGGGCACUUGCAUUUAAUAAAUUUGAUCAUGAUAUGGUCAAGUGGUUCAUGCGCUAUCCAGGCACACCCUUCUGAAUCAUAAAUACUCCCAACAGUAGUAACAUUGGUAAACUAAUCUAGCCAUGAUAGAAGGAUAAUAACUCAAGAAGUUUCAUCACAAGUUUACCUGCUGCAGAACCAUCGUUGGGAGGUCCUCCAAGUCACAGCUGUAACUGUUUAUCAGAUACCCAUCCGAGAGCUUCCUGGUCAACGAUCCAGCAAUGCUCGGAGAACCUUCGCCCAACAAACUUAUCUGGCCAUCCUUCAAGACAAUCUUCGUGUUGAACUGUGUCCUGGAAGAUUUGUAUUUAGGCUCACCAUUGUCCGAAGGCUUCGUGAGUCGGUCAGCAGCCAAAAUAGGCUGCGGGACUCUUAGGCAGAUAGACCAGGAAGAAGUUCGAGAAUGCCAUGUAGGAAGGGACUGCAGAUGGAGAUACGGAACCCUGCUAACCUGCACUAGUAAAAAGGAAGUUAGAUACCCCAGUCUAUACCCAUGGUAUAUUAUACUGCUGCAUUGAUGAACAGAAAAAAAAAAGUAGGUAUACCACACUCUCCAGCUCCAGCUGCACUUUAUUUGAAAAUAUUUUAUGAGCAACUGUCAUGCAGAAAUGGCCUAGCAAGCCACACUCAUCACCUGCAGGCUCUGCAGUGUGAGCAGGACUCUGGUAGCGAACAAUAUUACGAUAUUUGUCUCUGACUUUCUUAAGAAUGUUGUCAUGGAACAUAUGUAGCAGGUAAAUCUCCAGACUUUUCGGGCUAAGAAACCCUGAGGCGCCACUUUUUAAAGGCUCCUGCUUCCCAUUGGUGGUGGCUAACACAAGAUUCGCCUCUGAAUUAGUGUGCUCUUCAUGGCCCACCAUUUCUGAGUCACUAUCCUGUCCAGAAAUCGCAAGUGAAAGGCACAACAAACUCUCCUGGCCAAUGGCUAAUUGGAGAAAAUCCUCACGCAUUCCAGUUACGUUGAUGCCUUGAGUUUGGACAAAUGUCUCACGGAUCACCAUAUCAAAUACCUACAGAGGCAUACAUUUAGCUAAGCAGAAGGUAGUAUGGUAGAUAAAGAAUGACGAAUCGAGAGGGAAAAAUUUGUCACAGCAAUAAAUUUUCAUGGAACUCUAGCUGGUCAAAAAGACAGGGUAUGCAAUAAUCAAAAGCAUUUAGACAACCUGCUCCUCAAAUAUUGACUUGUGGAUAUUGCGGAAAAUGGAAUGCGCUUGUUUGACAGACUUAUUGACAUCAUCAUUCUCCGAGGCAUCAUCUUCCGCUGCAGAAGAAGUGGUGCUUGAGAUACCUUUCGCUUUGGAAGCGUAGCCUUCCGCGCCGCUGGCACUGUCCCCAAGAAACUGAACGCUCAAGAAACGGCACGACUUUUGUGGGACAUGUACAGACAAAAUACCCGACGAGUCCUGAUCGAUUGGAACCAAAGGCAAUGAUGACAAUCGGGACAUUGCUGUCGUGUCCAACUGAGAAGUGUCAACUACAUCAAACAUGAAGCUGUUGCUUCCUGGAGCAUUCCCACGCUGCCUCUUAACUUUCCAGUUCUGCUGCAACCUGCCAAUCCAACAACACUGGUUAUGGUACAAACAUCACUACUUAGGUGAUAGCUGAAAUUCACAAUUCCUGAAAGAAGAUGAACCUGAUCAAUGAGCCGUAGAACCUAGCCUCCUUCUGGAACUGCUGCUCCAUCGUUUUGGCCGAUUGCUUGAAGUACUGUCCCAGAUGCUGAGAUUGCAGAACAGAGCAUAAUAAUUAGGGUCUAUGGUGUAAGUUCAAACAUGAACUACUCCAAACAUCUUUUAUUGCAGUUUACUUCUACUCCCAUUUUGUCUGUCUUGUACUAACUGGAUACAAAUGUUCUAUUAGUUCCUACUGCAGACUAACAGGGGCAUACCCGAAGGCGCUGGAGUUUGGUGGCGGCGGAGACGGCCAUGUCGACGAGGACUUCGUCCGGCAGCGGCUUGGGCUUGGAGAUGGUCGCCGCCACGGCCACGGUAUCGUUCGCCUCGACCUGCAUUGUUAUCCAUCCAUAAUAACCAGGAACAUCAUCGCAUCCAACAUACGAGGGCGUCAUCGGGCCGAGAUGCGGACGAACGGAGAUGUGGGCGGACCGCGGAGAUGAGGUCGAGGACGACGGUGAGCUCCUGCUGCGCCAGCUGCAGGCUCUCGUGGAGGCCCUGCCAUGGCCAGGCCUUGUGGGCGGCGUCCUCGGCCGCCGCCUUCUUGGCCUUCUUGGCGUCCCGCUCGACGACCCAGGAGAAGUCGACGCGGCGGAUCGCCGCCAGCCGCUGUGCCUCGCUGCUGCCGUCCCUGCGGCCGCGUGCUCACCGGUGAGCAGGCGAUUUGGAUCGAGGGAAGGGAAGGGGGAGGAGGGGGGCUUACGGCGGGUAGUGCUCGUUGCCGGCCUCGUCGGUGGCCUCGAGGCGCUUGAUGGGGAGCUUGUCGAAGUCCAGCCGCAGGUCGUCGCCCAUGGCCGCCAUCUCUGCCCCCUGCUCCUUGAUUGAUGGGGGGCGAGCGAGUGGGUGCUGAAUCGGAGGAAGGGGGGUAGGGAUUGGGGGACCGACGCAGCCUGACUUUGGGCUGGGCUCCCGUCUCGAGGCCAAGAGUGGUGGGUGGUGGCCGCCGGCGAGGGGCGCGGCGGCCGGCGGGAUCGGGCGACGACCGGAGUUUGCCGGCGAGCGAGGGUUUGGGGGAGCGUCUUUGUCUCGCUUGUGGCUGUAGUGGGCCGGCCCAGUUUGCUCCGUUCGUUUUCGCACGUUUGCUUCUUGGUUCGUUCGAUGGAGUCGUACGGCUGUCCUGACGUUCAUUCGUUCGUUCUUAUUUUUUUCUCUUCUGUUUCUAUUUUGAAAAUAUUCUCAAGACAUACUCCCUCCGUCCCAAAAUAAGUGUCUCAACUUUGUAGUGUAAAAAAAUUUGGGACGGAGGGAGUAUAUUUCAACAAAUUAAUUUAGUUAAAAAGUUAAAACGUUCAUCACGCAUUUAGAAAAAAUUCAUGUAGUGUAAAAAAUUUGUUUGUGACAUCUUCAAAACUAUUUCUGCAAUGUAAUCUAUUAAAAUUUACAAUAUAUUUUAAUAUAUAAAAAUGUAUUGUACCAUUCGAUCAAUGUUUGAUUAAAUUUAAAGAAAAUGUUCACGGAUUAAAAAAUAUAUGCUCGUGACAUAUUUUAAAAUGUUAUAGUACAAUGUAAAAAAAUAUUUGUGUAACUUUCAAAAAAAUAGUACCAUUAAAAUAUAUGAAUGAAAUUUAAAAAUAAUGUUCUAACACUUAACAAAAUGUUUGGUACGUUUUAAAAAAACGUUUAACAUGUAUGUGUACUCGAAAAAUGUUCAACGGUGUAUCUGGAAAAUGUUUCACCUAUAUUAAAGAAAAUCUUUAACGUAUAUCCAAAAAUUAAACAUGUAUUUGAAAACUGUUUAACAUUUAUUUAAAAAAUGAGCAAAAUGUAUUUGAGGAAAUUUUCAACAUGUAUCAAAAUAUUCCCAAUGUAUUAAAAAAUGUACAACGUGUAUUAAAAAAUUUACAUGUAUUUGAAAAAAAAAUAACCCAAAGAAACCAAAUAAAACCGAUACAGAAAACACACUAUAACAAAAGGAAAUACUACGCAAAAGCCUGUAAAACAAGUUCAUAUAAGAUUCCCAAAACCAUUUCAGAAAAGGUACAUUGGGCCGGCCCGUCUUGGAAUAGGUGAGACAUAGCCCUGGUGAGGGUUUGGACCUGGGAGUUGACAGUGAUGGUGGUGAGAACUAAACCAGGCCGGGACGAACCGCCGAGGAAGGUUAGUUGUCAAACGGUCGAUUUUGUUCAUGUAGGAACAACACGUUUUAUUUGUAAUUCAGCCAUGCCAUGAUUUUUGUGUAUGCGUGUGGGGAUUUAGCUAAGCUUUUUAAGAGCAAUUCAUCUAUGAUUUUGAAGAAUAAUUCAGCUAUAUGGGAAUAAUCUGAUUUUUAUUAUGCAAAACGGUAGCCAAGGCCAAGAUUUGGCUAUGCUUUUUAAUUCAACUGUACUGGGCCGGAAUUAUCCGGAAUUGGUUAAAGCUUGGCCUUGGGUGCAAAAAAGAACGAAAACACCAACGCCCACACGUGUGGCAUCUUGCACAUCGCCCACGCCUCCUUUACCACUCAUUUUGCCACAUCUGAACAAAUGACAUCAGCAAGAGUCUUUUUGGUUUUCGGCUUAAAAAUGUUUAAUCUCCUAAUUAAAAAGUUGAAUUAAAAAUCCGUUUUCAUCAUUAAAUACGUCUCGACAAAAAAAAAUUGCCCUAAAGUGGCCAUGAUGUUUACACUGUAGUUGUCAUAGUGCUUAAACUAAAGUUGCCAUAUGGCAAUUUCAAUUUGUAGAGCAUGGCAAUUUUAGUAUUUUGAUGAUGGCAACUGCAGUACGUUGACCAUGAAUUUUUUUUUAUGAACCAUGGCAAUUUUAAGUGCAUGUAUCAUGGCAAUUUUAGUUUAUGAUUCAUGGCAAGUCUAGUUUCUUAAUUCCCUGUUUUAUAAAUGUCAAAUUUUACUUUUAAAUGUAGAAGAAAAUAGCUGAGACAUAUCAUGGCAACUUCAGUGUAAACACCAUGGCAAUUCAUGUGCAAUAGACAUGGCAACUUUUGACCCAAAAAAUUCGUCGAAAUAUAUUGAUAUGAGAUCUAGUUUCGAAGAUCUCGUCAUGAGGGAUUUAAUGGUGAAAACGGAUCUUCAAUCGGAUUUUUUAUUUAAAAGAUAAAACAUUUUAAAAUCUGGAAAUCCAAAAAGAUUCCCAUAUGCAUGCAUGCGGUGACGUGGCGCAGUCUGUGUAUUAUAGGGCGUGUGGGCGUUAGCAUUGUCCGAAAAGAAUCCUAUGAAGAAACAGUCUGAGGUUGGAUAAGUAGAACCUAUGCAGCAGGAGGGGUUUUCAAAAGUCUCCCACGCAUUGUAAUUAUAAAGAUGAUUCAUGUAAUUGUACCUUCAAAUCUCCCACGGAGGGAGUACUCUAGUAUGGAAACAACUAGUAGUACAUUAACUUGUCACUUGUGGAGCCAGCCAUUCAGUUGCUACCGAUCAACACAAGCACAUUCAUGUUAAAUUCCUCCUAGGAUCAAUGCAUGCAUUGCAAUUCAUUCAGGUCUAGCAUGAUGAAUAAUCCUGCUCAUGUUGCCAAUAGAAAUUGCGGCACUACUCGCAAUCAAAAUCCCACCACAAAAACGAAGAUACUAAGGCCCUGUUCGGAGUCCCGCCACUCCACCACUCCGCUCCCGGAGCUGGAGUUAAAAGGCAUGGAACUAGGAAACGUAUGCUCCGACUCCUCAUAUUUUUAGGAGCUGGAGUGACUCCGAACAGGGCCUAAGAGGCAGCACAAAACAGUGUUGUCUAGAGAUGCCUAACCAUGACGGUUGCCGCCUUCUCUCUGGUGAGAUCUCCAUCUCCCUCUUCCUCUGGUGAGCUCGCCCUUAACCUCACGGCCCCUUCUUCUACCCCCGAUAUUGAUGGCUCCCUCCAUAUCUCCACCUCUCGUCCUCCUCGGAUGGAGGCCUCAUUGCCGCGUGUAUACCUCAACCUAGACCUCACUAGUUGGGUGUGUUGAUGGAGUCGAUUUCGGCAGAUCUCGAGUAAGGGAUCCCGAACUAGUAGCCUAGAUGUGAUGGUAACAUGGACACGAGGUUUACCUAGAUUCGGGCUCUCCGAAGAGAUAAAACCCUACAUCCUGCUUUGUGUUGUAUUGAUUUGGAUGGAGUACGAAGUACAAGUUGAUCUACCAUUAGAUUGUUGUGUGUUGUCUACGAGCCCUACCCAUUGAUUUAUAUAGGUACCGUGUGUCUAGGGUUAUAGUUAGGUUGGCCGUAUAGAAGGUAAAACAUGUUGUAGACGACCUCUAAAUCUUGAAGAAUGCACCAAGUCUUUGGGAAUAUUUCUUCUACGUGCCAUGGGCCCUCUUUUGAUGGCCUACUAGUGAACUGCCAUGGGUGUCCUCGGCCUGGCCAACCUGAGCGUGAGACGAUGUGGUGAGUGAGCCCUAAUCCAGGACACCAUCAAGCGUCUGGUGAUCCACAACACUGAUUUCGUUCGGGGAAGGCUCGUGUUCAUGUGUCCUGACGGCAUCGCGUACAAGGGGUUGUCGUUCGUCCUCCCGAGCACGAGUAAGGACGACAUCAUGUCAAUCACCUCAUCGCAGGCAAAUGGAUAAGUUCCGGAAGAUGACCCUCGAUGCGUAAACAUAUUACACUUUUACAUUGUUUAAAAGAAGUUACAGGGCAAGAAGUUCAAGUUGUGUCCAAACAUUUUUUUCCGGCACAUGAAGUUUCAAAUGAACACACAAUACAUUCUAUACCGUGUACAAACCAUAAUCGUAUGUGAUAUCAGUAAUGAAUUAUGGCUUGUGCGUGUGAUUGUAUCCACAGCCCAUUAAGGAUCAAACCACGGAUUGUAUCCACAGCCUAUAUAUUGUACUAUUCAUGUUUCCUAAAACCAUGCUUCAAAGAGAAACCAAGCUUGUAGUCUGACCGGAUCGGUGCGUCUCUUUACCUGAACCGAGGCGGACUCUGCUCUGCCGCCCGGAGCCGGAUUCCGAGUCCUCUGCUACGUAGCUCGACUUCGUCGCACUACAAAUUCAGCAGCAACCCGUCCGCUUCGUUCCACCGCCGAUCACAGCCUUUUCCUUUCCCUACGUACACGAGUGCGCUCUGCUCGGCCGAUUCGAUCGUUCUCCACGAACAGGGAAGCCGGCGGCUACGAGAGACUCGUACCAGUGCCUCCAAGAUGGCCGGCGGCCCGCUAGCGCGAGCAGAGUCACGGUCUCAGCAGUACGACGACGAGCAGCAGCUCGACGACCGGCAGUUCGACGAGCUGUGUCAGCGAUAUGCGCCCUCGCAUCUUUCUGCCCACCUGGCCGCCGCGCCGGCCGUCGCUCAGAAGACGAUCCUCGAGAUCCGUUUCGACGAGGGUUACCCGGAGUUCUCGGACGCCACCAGCCACAACGGCGUCGGGGUGGACGAAGCGACGAAGACCGCAGGCGGUGCAGAGACGACGAUGAGUCGUCGGAUGAGGAAGAAGCUGGCCCCGCCCGUGCUGUCUAGAUUAGUUUGAACUACUACUGUAUUUCUUUUGAACAGUCGUGGUGUCUCAAUUUCAGUUAGCUAGCUAGUUUUGGUCUUGCAGAACUGAGAUCCGAGCGAGAUAGAUGAACUGGUGUCUCUCGUUGAACGAAAUUAGGCCGAGGUGUAAGCAGACAUCGGAAGUUAUUUCAAUUUACAGAGUUUCUCACUCGCAAAUUUUUUUUACAGAGCUUCUGGUUUAUGGAAUUAAAGAACUUGGAAAUUAUAAUCUGUUUUGAACUCAAUUUCAAAUGUUGGUGUUUUUUAUAGAUUUGUCCAUAUUUACCAUUUUGCUAAAAGAGGUCCGCAUCGUGAUUCACAAAUCCUUUCAAGUUUAUGUACCGAAGCACACUUUCUUCUUUUCCGAGCACUGACCUGGCCGUCCGCGGACGGCUUGAUUUGAGGGGUGACGGCAAGUCCACGCAUAUAAGACCGAUUUAAGGAGUCCAACUAAGCCAUGUUUUUUGUUUCCGGACACUGACCAGGCCGUCCAUCCGAUCAAUCAGUUGGGAGCCCGGCCGUAGAUGCUCUCAGGGCAUCUACAAUGCUAGGAGCUUACAUAGGCGCUUAUAGACAAAAUAAUAAAUAAGUAAAAAUCUGAAACACACCUAAGCGCCUCAUCCCUCAACGCUAGACACUAAUUAACUAAACAACGUGGACGCUAAGUACUGGAAGGAAAAUGACCAAGCGCCGGGUGCAUGAUUUGGCGUCGAUGCCAGGGUUGACACCAGGAUUACACCCGGCAACCGCUAAUCUGCCGGGAUUACGAACCUGGCGCCUGGCCUAAGCGUCCAGCAAUGGAGAUGCCCUCAUGCAACAAAGUAUUUCCCUCUUGUAGUUUUAACCCGUGUGGCUGAUGGCCAUGUCAGUUGGUGAGCCAAUGUGUGUGGCUGGCAAGCAAUACGAUCGGGGGGUCGGGACCCGGGAGCGCGGGGGUGCCGGCAAGCGGCGUAGGUCGCAGUUGCGUGCCCACAUGUGGCCGAUGGCCCUCUGCGGCUGCCGGCUGAUCGAACGCACUCGCGGGCGUCCCCAGCCGCUGCCUGCGCCGGCGACGUCAGACGACGCCUGCCUCCGUAGCUGGUCCCCCGUCGAUUGUCCGGCUAGCCCCGGCGCAAACGGGUUCGGGCAAUAGGCCGGCGUCGGCCGGAGUCUCCGAGAGCUAGCAGGCAGAGACGUGAUUGAUUCAGUACAACCCAUCGUGCUUGCUGCGUAGAGAUUCCCGCCGAUGGGUCGACACGGAUGGGCUGGGUCGAAGUGGCGAACGAUUAGCCUGUAGCGGUUUGCUCGUCGAAACGCGUUUUGAUUCUUGGGCGAUCGUGCGNNNNNNNNNNNNNNNNNNNNNNNNNNNNNNNNNNNNNNNNNNNNNNNNNNNNNNNNNNNNNNNNNNNNNNNNNNNNNNNNNNNNNNNNNNNNNNNNNNNNNNNNNNNNNNNNNNNNNNNNNNNNNNNNNNNNNNNNNNNNNNNNNNNNNNNNNNNNNNNNNNNNNNNNNNNNNNNNNNNNNNNNNNNNNNNNNNNNNNNNNNNNNNNNNNNNNNNNNNNNNNNNNNNNNNNNNNNNNNNNNNNNNNNNNNNNNNNNNNNNNNNNNNNNNNNNNNNNNNNNNNNNNNNNNNNNNNNNNNNNNNNNNNNNNNNNNNNNNNNNNNNNNNNNNNNNNNNNNNNNNNNNNNNNNNNNNNNNNNNNNNNGGAACGUGGAGGAUGAUUAGUCCAGGCCUCUAGGGUUUAGUUAAUUAAUUUCUAUGCAGAUCACGUUCGGGCGUGCCGUCGUACGGUCGGCAGCAAUCAAAUCGUCCUUCGUCCUUUUCUCUCCGUCUCCGUCUGAUCAUUAGGCGCUUUCGCGCCAGGGGCGGAUCCAAUGCGGAGCCAAAUAGUCUUUUUACAGGUUUGCUUUAGCACAUCUAGAUGUGUCCUAUAUAUUGUACUUCUAUAUUUAAGUCUUAUGUCAUUGAUUUUACGUAGAGUAUUUUGCUUUUGUUUUAUGUUUGAUUGAGUCACUUAGAUGUCCAAUACUUAGCGCUUCCUAGACAAACUCAGUUGGCUAAUAAAAAAGAUACUACCUCCGUCCUGAUUUAUUGGUCGGCGUAGUACAUAGUUCAAACGACAUCACAAAUCUAAAGGUUUUCAUGAUUAAUCCGAAAUGCUCCAUGAUUUAUCGCGACAACGACCGGGCAGACUAUGACUUGCCGGGGUGGCGUCUCGGGUGGCAAAGAUGCCAGAGGAUGGUGCACCGGGCGUGUGAAGAGGAUGUAUGUGAACACGGACACAACAGAGGAGAGGAGAAGAGAGCACCCAGGGGUAGGGCUGCAAAAAAAUCUCGAGGCUCGUGAGCCGCUCGAGAUCGACUCAUUUUUUGCUCGACUUGAGAUCGAAUCGGAAAGAAACAAGCUGAGUACGAACACUUUCUAUAGCUCGGUCGAGAAACAAGCCGAUCUUGAGCCAAUCCUAGCUCGCUCGAUUUUAGCUCAAUGGCUCGGCAUAAUAUCAUUAUGUUGAAUGAUCAUGACAUAUAUUAAAUGGAAAUAGGAUAAUUUAUUACCUUAUAGGUCGUAUAGGAUUUUUCUCCAUUUUAUUUACCAGCAAACAUGGAAGCUUAAUUAGCUGUAGAAAAACUUUAGGGCUUAUUAUGGUAUGUGGUCAGCCGUGUGUUAAAUAUCUUUCAUUUCUGGCAAAAGUUCUCAAGCAUAUCGUUUUUCUUUUCUUUCAUCCACCAAGAUAAGCUGAUGUACCUUCGGUUGGAAUUAGCCUUUUUUUUCACUUUCACGUCAUCUAGUUGGUACUAUAGUUUAUAAACAAAUGAAGGAUCUCUGGAUAAUGUUUUGAUUGGAAUACUAUUUUGUAGUGCUUUUUUAUGUCAUGUUGUGCCUUAUCUAGUUGAAAUAAUAGUUGUAGAUUUUAUAUUUUUUAUUGUCUCAUUUAGCUCGAAACUAGCUCAAGACCACUCGAAAGCGUUACAAGCUGAGCAUGAGUCAUGUUCUACAGCUCGACCUUGAGCUUCACUCAAUAUGAGCUCGCUCGAAUUUUAGUAUGAGUUGAGCUGCGCCAUGUCCAACACGCUCGAACUCGACUCGUUUGCAGCCCUACCCAGGGGCGAGGGGCUAACUUGGGAGGGUGUGAGAUACAACUGGAUUGUCGAGUCUGGCGUGAUGAACGUAUCUGAACCAUAAUUUAAAAACUGAACCGGCUGUCGAACCGGUGAGGCUAUCGGAUUAGGUUUACCGAUGGGAUUGUCAGUUGAAUUGGUUCAAUAGCGACAAAAAAUCAGAAUAUUUAAGUUAUUUUUCUAAAAGAUUGAAACUCAGAUCAAAUGAAUACAAGUAAUAUUCAUUGUAAUCAAAUUAUUAAAUUAUAAUUUGUAGCUAGCCCAGUUGGUUGGUCUUUAGGCGUGCGGUGGCUCAAGGUCAAAGGUUCGACUGCACGCAACUCUGUCCUAUGAGCACCUCCGGAAGACCGAUCCAACAAAUCUUGAGAUUGACAAAGUCGCCUCAGGCACCUCAAAGUCGACGGACACACACACCACUGAAAAAACAGAGCGGGAAAACCUAAAAUAAAUUCAGAAAAUAUAUGUGCACUCAUGCCAAAUCUAUGACUUGAGUUCGAAUAAGUUGGUUGCACCACAAGAAAUGUAACCAUUUAGGGCAUGCUGAGUUCACGUGCAUGCAGACAGCUAUACAACGCGAUCAUGAAGCAUGUAGAAUUUGCUCGGAAACAAACAAUUGUCAUAAGGCUCGUAACACAACUGCAUGAUCGACAUGAUUGGUUUGUUGAAGCUUAAAGGACCGCAACAUUUAGGGAACGUUCGUCACGAAAGGAUGCCAUUUGCGAACAUUUCCUCUGACAGUUUCAGUUGUAGGAGAUGGCAUUUUCUUCAAAAAAGCAAUACAGUUUUUGGCUUACCAUUUGCAUGAUUUUGAUGUGCAGGCGUUCCCUUGUUAAACAGGCAUCGCCAAAAGUUGGCAACAUUGCGCGAGAUUAGCGGAAAGAUCUGAUAACCGCCCGAUCAGUAGGCAGUAUAUUCAGCAAAUGCUAAAUAUCAGCGUGGCGAUUUUUGGGAUCCCACAAAUCAUGCUCACAACAAUUUGCCAACUUUAUCCCUUGAUUCAUGGUGGUAUCCAAAUCAUGCCUCAGCCGCGUACGCGCAGGAUUUUGCGCCGUUCGCUACGCGUCCCGCCGUUUCCACCCACGCAGCCACGCCCACGUCCCGUGAAGCAGGCCAUCGUGCCAACUCACGCCACCACCGCCCUGCCUCAAAUCACGAGCAGCGAGCACCACCGUCUCUCUAUCUCUCUCCUCCGGCGAUGCAUGGAUCCCAUCCCGGCCCCAAAUCUAGCAGAGCGCGUACGUCCGCAGACGCACGCAUCCUCCCCGUCGCGUCCAGCCAGCCAAUCGCCAUCACUGCCCCGCAGACCCCGCCUGCGCCUCAUUUAUAUUCUCUCCAUCCCUCCUCGCCCGCCCAGCCAGAUCGACCGAUCCCUUUCCUCCCUGCCACCCUUUGACCCCUGUGCGGCUGCGCCCCCCGCCACCCACCUCGCUCCACUGCACACUCAUCACUCCCUUGCUCAGAGGCUGAGGAGGCGAGGGAGCACUGUACCGAAGGUGUCGGCGGCGGCGGUGGUGGGAGUUUGCGCGUGUUGACGAAGGAGACUGGAAGCGGAGAUGCCGUCGCCCGCCGCCCUCUGCGUCUUCCUCCUCCUCGCCCUCCUCCUCGCGGCGGCCAGGGCCGAGGACCCCUACCGCUUCUACACCUGGAACGUCACCUUCGGCGACGUCUACCCGCUCGGCGUCAAGCAGCAGGUACGUACGCCGGCAUUGCGCUUCUUCUUUUUCUUUCUUCUUCCUGCUCUGUUCUUGGGCUGAUGCGCGGCGGGUGGAUGCAGGGGAUCCUGAUCAACGGGCAGUUCCCGGGGCCGCAGAUCGACGCCGUCACCAACGACAACAUCGUCAUCAACGUCUUCAACAACCUGCCCGCCCCCUUCCUCCUCUCCUGGUAAUUAUUCCAUCAAUUUUCAUUUUCUUCCUGCCCGUACGUUUCCACUGUACGUGUUGGUGCCUCUCCCCAGUUUGGCCACUGUUCAUUUCAAGCUCGGCACAGAUGCUAGUUCUCUCUCGACGCUGCGUUCCUGCUGGAAUGCUGCCGGUCGGCCCAUUUCCGAGCUUAUCUAACUUCUACAGAUAUAUUCAUGUCUUNNNNNNNNNNNNNNNNNNNNNNNNNNNNNNNNNNNNNNNNNNNNNNNNNNNNNNNNNNNNNNNNNNNNNNNNNNNNNNNNNNNNNNNNNNNNNNNNNNNNNNNNNNNNNNNNNNNNNNNNNNNNNNNNNNNNNNNNNNNNNNNNNNNNNNNNNNNNNNNNNNNNNNNNNNNNNNNNNNNNNNNNNNNNNNNNNNNNNNNNNNNNNNNNNNNNNNNNNNNNNNNNNNNNNNNNNNNNNNNNNNNNNNNNNNNNNNNNNNNNNNNNNNNNNNNNNNNNNNNNNNNNNNNNNNNNNNNNNNNNNNNNNNNNNNNNNNNNNNNNNNNNNNNNNNNNNNNNNNNNNNNNNNNNNNNNNNNNNNNNNNNNNNNNNNNNNNNNNNNNNNNNNNNNNNNNNNNNNNNNNNNNNNAUAUGGUCUAGAUUAAGCUGUGAAAUCGAAAUGUAUAUACAUAUGGUCUACAUAUAUGUUUUUUCCCCUUUCUGUUUUUCGGCAUUUUUUUUUUACUGAAACUACUGGGUAAAUGCCUUUCUUUAUUCACACUACUGCCUAUGCACAUCGUUGCUGGGGCAGAGGAAUUGGUUGUCCAAAUGUGAACAUAUGUGCAAGAAUAUGCCAACUUCCAAGACAUCACCUGCAGUGCAAGUGGGCAGUUAAAUUUGGUUCAGUAGAUCGAGCGGACACAUGUGUAAAUCUCCAUUUAGUAAGCGCCUCGGCACUGGCAGAGCUCGUGACGGAUGUCCCUGGGAAUGAGCUGUCUCAGCCUCAUGGCAGGCAAACAAAUGUCAGGAUUUGUUUAUCUCUAGACCGGAUCUGAUGCCCUUCUCAGAUCCAGUGCCAUCUCUAUCCUCUCCCAAAUAAUAUCAUUUUUUGAACUUCUUUUGGCCGUGCUUUCGCUUUCACCACAGAUCAGAUCAGUGGUGAACGAAAGAAACAAGUGCACAACUAGUAUCAGUGGGCCUAGUGUGUUUUCAGCAUUUGGCAUGUGCAGCAGGCUGAUGCGGUUCCUGGCUUCUUUUGCCUUCCAAGUGUGGCAUCCAUGUACCUCUUUUUUGUGCCUUAUUAUCGUGAAGGAAACCACAUUAUAGCCAUAAAUUAGAUAUGGUUCUGCCAUAGUAAAUUAAUAUGAAACAGGUAUGUAGUUCGUUCUCGAAAAAACGUACGUAGUUCAUAUAUGACGUAGUUAAAGAAACAACUAGUUUUCAGUGUUAUCUGUCAGCUAACCAUACUGAAUUUUAACUGCAUUGGUCUCAUUGUUACUUGAUCUUGAAGCCAUUUUGCACGGUGUAUGGCAGAUGUCAAAUUCAAAUGCCAAGUUUUGGACUGCACAAAACAAUAUCGCUUCUUGUCUGACGGUUCAUACAUACAUUGUAGGCAGGGGAUUCAGCAGAGGAGGAGCUCAUGGCAAGACGGCGUGUACGGCACAAACUGCCCGAUUCCUCCGGGGGGCAAUUUCACCUACAACAUGCAGUUCAAGGACCAGAUCGGGAGCUACUACUACUUCCCUUCUCUCGCGUUCCAUAAGGCGGCGGGCGGGUACGGCGGCAUCAGGGUCCUUAGCCGCCCGAGGAUCCCGGUCCCGUUCGAUCCCCCUGCCGGUGAUUUCACCAUAUUGGCUGGUGACUGGUUCAAGCUCAACCACACUGUAAGCUUAUGUUCUGCUUAUGUUUUUGAUGUAUCAAAGCGCAACAUUUCAGGAAAAUAAUUGAAAACCUGAACUGAAACUUGAAACUCUGCAGGAUUUGAAAGGCAUUUUGGACAGUGGUAACGACCUUCCCUUCCCUGAUGGGCUCCUUAUCAAUGGCCAUGGCUCGAAUGGCAACAGGUUCACAGUAGACCAAGGUAAAAUUUUCAGUGUAGCAAAGCAGAUGUCAAAAAUAGCUGACAAGUACUUCAUUUUUCGGUAGACAGAGACAGAGUUGUACUGAACUAGCCUGAUGUAAUCUUUCGCAGGGAAAACAUAUCGUUUUCGGGUGUCAAACGUCGGCAUCUCAACCUCGGUUAACAUAAGGAUCCAGGGCCAUUCCUUGCUCCUGGUGGAGGUGGAGGGAUCGCACACCAUGCAGAACACCUACUCCUCGCUCGAUGUUCACCUCGGCCAGUCCUACUCAUUCCUCGUGACGACCAACCAGCCACCCCAGGACUACACCAUCGUCGUCUCGACGCGCUUCACCAAUCCGGUGCUCACCAACACCGCCAUGCUCCAUUACAGCAACUCGAAUGGCGUCCCUGCGGCGUUGCCGCCUCCCCCGGGGCCGACGAUCGAGAUCGACUGGUCUCUGAAUCAGGCAAGAUCAAUCCGGUAAGAACGUGAAUGACUGUAAAAACUGAAGUCACAUAUGCUGCUACUCUGAAUGACUGAAAAAACUGAAGUCACGUAUGCUGCUACUCUGAAUGACUGAAACACUCUGAAUGAUGAACGCAGGUGGAACCUGACGGCGAGCGGACCGAGGCCGAACCCUCAGGGCUCGUACCACUACGGCCAAGUGAACACUACGAGGACGAUGAGGCUCGCCAACUCGCGGGUCAGCAUCAACGGCAAGCUGAGGUACGCGGUGAACAGCGUGUCCUUUGUGCCGGCUGACACCCCGCUCAAGGUGGCCGACUUCUACAACAUCCAGGGGGUGUUCACGCCGGGGAGCAUGCCCGACGCCCCGUCCGGCGGCCCCGCGUACCUCCAGACGGCCGUCAUGGCGUCCAACAUGCGGGACUACGUCGAGGUCGUCUUCGAGAACGCUGAGGGCUCCGUGCAGUCCUGGCACAUCGACGGCUACGCCUUCUGGGUCGUCGGGUACGUGCGUUUCACCGCGGCAUGCCGCUUCUUGCAGAUCAUGGGCUUGUCUCCUAGGACACCGAUUUGUAUGGCUCACCAUUGAUUUCUGGAACAACAGGAUGGACGGAGGGCAGUGGACGCCGGCGAGCCGUCAGAACUACAACCUGAGAGACGCGAUCGCUCGGUACACAUUGCAGGUAUGCUCACCUUCAAUGACAAGUAAGCUCUGCAAAGGAACAACUGUGUCUGAACUUUGUGCUUCUUAGGUGUAUCCUGGUGCGUGGACGGCGAUCUACAUGCCGCUGGACAACGUGGGGAUGUGGAACGUGAGGUCGGAGAGCUGGGGCAGGCAGUACCUGGGCCAGCAGUUCUACCUGCGGGUCUACUCGCCGGCCAACUCGUGGCGGGACGAGAACCCCAUCCCCAAGAACGCGCUCCUCUGCGGCCGCGCCUCCGGCCGCCGGACCAGGCCGCUCUGAAGUCGGUUUUCGUGUCACGAAGGGGUGACUGAAUCUGAGAAUCAGGUUGCUGAGCUCCAAAUUCUUUUGACUGAAAACAGGCUUUGAGAUGGUUUGUAUUUGUAGCGGCGUGCCGGUGCUAUUCGUGAUUCUUUUCCUGGAAAUUGUAGGCAAAAUGUUAUGUAUGGCAAGCAUCUUGCUUGCUC